rnacentral:lncRNA from 1 species
ACGCGCCUGUUCACCGGGAACCAAAGAGGAGGACCAGAAUGGGAGUUUCACCGAGUGAACACGCUCUUCAACAUCGACUCCUGGGGCUUCGUUUUCAACACGUUCACCGAGUUGGAACAAGUUCACAUAGAGCACAUGAAGAAAGACCUCGGACACAAAAGAGUCUGGGCGGUGGGCCCGGUUUUACCGAUUCGAAACGGUUCGACCGAACCGGAAGAGCGUGGCGGGAACAGCGCCGUUUCGCGAAAGGACAUUGAUGAAUGGCUGGACUCGUGCGGGGAAUGUUCGGUUGUCUAUGUUUGUUUCGGGAGCCUUACGAUUCUCACGAGUUCGCAGUUGGAUGUGUUGACGCGUGCUUUGGAACUCAGUGGGGUCAACUUUGUUUUGUCGGUUGGGGUUCCAGACGCGCGAGCGGUCGCGCAGGAGCAGGGUAAGGUGCCGUGUGGGUUCAUGGAUCGGGUGGGAGUGAGGGGAAGGGGUUUUUUGAUAGAGGGGUGGGCACCGCAGUUGGUUAUACUGAGCCACCGCGCGGUGGGGGCGUUUUUAAGUCACUGUGGAUGGAACUCGGUGUUGGAAGGGUUGGUUUCGGGGGUGGUGAUGGUGACGUGGCCAAUGGGUGCGGAUCAAUAUACAAACGCGAGGCUCUUGGUGGAUGAGUUGGGUAUGGUGAUUCGUGGUGCUGAAGGUGAGAAGCUUCCAGAGGCUAGGGAGUUGGGGAAGAGAAUUGAGAAGGCUUUGGGGAGAACGAAGGAGAGGGUGAGGGCUGAGGAGUUGAGGGACGCGGCGCAGAGGGAGUUGGAUGCGAUGGUGAAGAUUAUGAACGAUGUUCACUUUGAGAAAACCACCAAGUGAAGGAGUGUUUCUUUUAGAAAUAACCAACAUCGAUUAUUAUUGCUGUGGAAGAUAGAUUAUGUAAUACAAAAAUAAUCGACAUCGAUUAUGGCCGGUGUAAGAUCGAUGACAUUACGGAUAAUAAACAUCUACCAGACUAUCUUUUCCAUACUUUCUCUACACAAAUAAAGAAAAAAAACCUAACAUUCUCAUGUUUCGUGCUUGCAAAUCAUCGAUAAUCACGGAAAACAAAUACGAAGUUUCGUCACCUUUCCAUCUGCAUAAAAAAACAGUGUUACUACAGAAAGAAACACUACGUUUAUGAAAAUUGAAAAGGCUCAAUCCAAUGUAAUGUUAAUGAUUUCAGUACCAGUCACGAUUGAAGACCGACCGACGAAGGUGAAGCAUAAUUACCUAUCAAUUUUUACCUAUUAUUUAUUAUUCAUAAAUUUCUAUUAUCUAUAAAUUAUCAUUUUGCAUCUCUAUUACCUAUCAAUUAUUAUUAUAAUAAUUAUAUACAUAAUAUUAAAAAUAUUAUUAUAAUAUAAAUAAUUAUAAAAUCAUAAUUAAUAUUAAUAAAUAAUAAUAAUAAUAACUAUAUUAUUUUAUUAAUAUUAUAAAAUUAAUAAUAUUAAUAUAAUUAAUAUUAUAUUAAUAAUAUAAAUAAUAUUAAUAGUAAUAAUAAUAUUAGUAAUAUUAAUAGUAUUAAUGAUAUUAAUAAUAAAAUAAAUUUAAUAAUAUUCAUAAUAUUUAAUAAUAUUCAUAAUAUUUCAUAAAAUUAAUAAUAUUUACACGUUGUCCCUAUCCCUCCUCAACGUGAAGCAGGAGAAAGGUGAUCCCUGCAAUUUAGCAAGGUAUGCAUGGGCAUUUGAAGCCUGAUGCUCGAGAUAGCCAUGCAUCAUCUAGUAGGAGCCAUUCGACCGGGCAGGUUCACAGAAAGCCUAAUCAAAAAGUUGGCCAAGGAUAUGGAUGAACUAAGAACCCGAACAAAGAAGUUCAUGCAGAUCGACGAGCACGUCGACUACCACAAAGCAUACCAGACUGAAACCAUAAGUAAGGAAAACGAGAAAGAAAAACACAAGAGCAACUAAUCGCGGGGUGACCGACUUAAACAGAACUGCGACCCUCGUUUUCACAAUUACACCUUUCACCGUCCCAAGAGGAAAGAUUUUGGACGAAGCACUACAGGCAGAACUCAUCCCAGCUCUCGAGCCGUCGCAUACCCCGUGAAAUGCUGACACAUCCAAACAUUGUCAGUACCAUCACAACUACGGUCAUACAAUCGAGGGAUGUUAGGCCUUGAAGGACAAAGUCGAAGAACUCAUCCCGACAGGUCAUUUCCAGAAAUUUUUCAAAAUGGACGUUGUGAUACAUCGGUCUCCCCGGUCUCCCGAAAGAGACCGACAUCAACCUUGAGCCCCGAGGGACUAUAACGACCGAUCAGGUCGAGGAGAAGGGAGGCGGCAAGACAACAACCGGCAUUGAACCAUAAGAAAACGAAGUGAAAGCCCGGUAAGAAAAACCCGACAACGAAGUGAGAGUCCCAGGCAAAGCAAUUGGACUAGACACCGAGUCCGGGAAUUCUUCAAUACCAUAGCAGACCCGGUAUCACUCGACCCGCCAGAUGAAGAGGUUAACUCGAUAACCGAGGACUUUGCAGGAGGAGGAUGCUCUAACUCCGCGGGGAAGAAACACCUCUGAGCCAUUCAGUCAGCUCAUGCUAAAUCUCGCCAAAGCAGACCUAGAAUACCCCCAAUAACAUUCUCCGAUGACGAUUUUACAGCCAUUGACGCCGCACAAGACGAACCCAUGGUAAUAACCGUGGAGAUCGAAAAGUUCGCAGUCACUAAAGUUAUCGUGGAUCAGGGAAGCUCGGUGGACAUUCUCUAUUGGAGAAAAUUCCAAAAAAUGAGGAUUUUGGAAACGAAGAUUCAACCGUACGAAGCGUAGAUUGUCGGAUUCUCAGGCAAGAGAGUAGACACCAAAGGAUACAUCGACUUACACACCACGUUCGGGGAAGAAGGAGAUCUGGCAAAAACCAUAAAGAUCAGGUAUUUAUUAGUAAAUGCCAAUGCCUCAUAUAACAUACUAUUGGGUCGGUCGUCUAUAAACCGCCUCAAAGCAAUAAUGUCUACACCCCAUCUGCCCAUGAAGUUCCCAUCCACAAAUGGGGACAUUGUCAUGGUACACGUAGAUCAAAAAGUCGCACGCGAAGUUUAUGUCGCCAAUAUAAAAGUAGAGCCUACCAGGCGACUUUACAGAGCAUCACCACGCGGCCAUUCCCGGGAAAGAAGAUAACGCCCGACCGAAAAUCGUUCACAGAGCGAAGCACGAAAAUACAUGGUAACACUCGUAGACCUUGAUCCCCAGCUUGACGACGCACGAAUGGAAGUAGGUGAAGACCUUCAACCCUUACCUCUCAAUGAUGACGAACGCAAAACAUACAUUGGUUCGUCCUUAAACCUGGAUGACCGUAGAACCAUUAGCAUAACCCAGGUGGACAAUGUCGACCUUGUUGAAAAUGAAGUUUUGAUGUCUCCAAAUCUACGAAGAUUGCUUGAAGACUGUGUUACUGUGUAUGGGCAUGAGUUUUGGGUAGUUUAGAAUUUGUUAAAUCCACUCUUAGUCAAUUCAAAUAUGAAUCAAUCAUGUUCCUUAAAAGAAAAAGUAAUUUGAAAAACAACCUGUUGAUUUAUCGUUUUAAUUGGUUGUUUUUCUAUUAGUGUGUUUAAAGGUUUUUAAAAUUGGUUUGAUCUUGGUUGACUUAACUGUCAAACAUAUUCAAUCGGUUGAUUCGAUAAUUCAACCGAUUGAUAUUUGAAAAUCUUUAACAACUUUUCCAAAAACUAUUUUUUGUAAUUUCAAUCUGUUUUAGCUCAUGAUUAACUCCCUUAAACGGCUACUUUCGAAAGCUAUAAAUAUGGGAUUACCUCCCUAUUUCAAAACACGGAAAGAGAGAUUCAAAAACACUUUUGUGAAAGAUUGGAUUCAAGAUUGCAAGAUUGCUUUGGCUUUGCAUUGGUUUAAAAGUGGAGUAGGUUCAGCUGUAAUUCCUUGAAUCGGGUGUAAUCUUUCCUGCUUUCUUUUGUAAUUAUUUCCAAGUUUGUAAAUCUGUAAACUGUUGGUACUGUGAGGUCAGAGGGUGUUCUGACUUUGUGUGUGGUUUAUCAAAGAGGGUGUGUGUUCUUGAGAGAUCAAGAUCACCUAUUUGUUGGUGUGUGUGUGUUUGUAAUCUGUUGUUGGUUACAUAGUGAAAUCUCAAAAGGUUUCUGAGAACUGGAUGUAGCUUUGGUAAGGAGUGAACCAAUACUUGUGUGAUUCUCUCUCUCUCUCACUCCUUUAAAGUUGUUUGAUUUGUGAUUUUAACAUUUGGUGGUAUAAACAAUCGGUUGAUUCGUAUAAACAACCGAUUGAUUUUCUGGAAUCAAUUUAAAAGCGUUUUGUUUCUUGGUUGAUUUGAUUGCUUUGUCUGUACUUCUUCAUUAAUCUUCAUUCCACUCCAUUAUUUGCGAAAAUCUUCCAUUAAACAAUUCACCCACCUCUCUUGUUUAAGUCGUUAAUUCUAACAGAUCUCUUCGCUUGGACGGUCGUUGACAUCCCCGGGGUGAGCCCCGACAUCAUUACACAUCGCCUCUCUAUAUACAUGGAGGCAAGACCAGUGACACAAAAGAAGCGAAAACUCGGGGAAGAAAGGCGUCAGGCCGCCCAAGAAGAGGCCAAUAAAUUGUUGAAGGCAUGAUUCAUUCGGAAGGCACACUACACGACAUAGCUGGCCAACUUCGUGAUGGUCCAAAAAUACAACGGUAAGUGGCGAAUGUGCGUAAACUACACCGAUCUCAACAAAGCAUGCUCAAAAGACUCAUACCCUGUCCCGACCAUCAACCGACUAGUCGAUGGAAACGCCAGCCACAGUAUCCUAAGCUUUAUGGAUGCCUAUUCGGGAUACAACCAAAUCCAAAUGCAUCCAAGCGACAAGGAAAAGACAGCCUUCAGGACUGACUCAGACAACUUUUACUACGAGGUCAUGCCCUUUGACCUCAAAAAUGUCGGAGCCACUUACCAACGGCUAAUGGAUAAUGUUUUCUAGGGUAUGAUCGGAAGAAGCGUCGAAGUCUAUGUGGACAACAUCGUCGUCAAAUCCGACUCAUUCGAACAACACAUUCAGGAUCUGCGGGAAGUGUUUCAAGCAUUACACUGCUAUCAAAUGCUCCUCAAUCCUGACAAAUAUGCUCAAAAUUUCAAAAGCUUUUUCUUAUUCCUGACCCCAUUUAAACACCACAUUCUUCUUUACUAUGGCAUUGAGAGAUGCGGCAAUGGUACUAAAGUCUUUCACAAACCUCCUAUAAAAACUAGCAAGGCCAUGAAAGCUCCGUACCUCACUAACAUUGGUGGGUGUAGGCCAAUGUCUAAUUGCUGCAACCUUUUCUUUAUCCACAUGCACCCCUUUAGAACUCACAACAAGCCCUAGGAAGUCUAUGUGGUCUAUAGCGAACACACAUUUUUUCGGAUUAGCAUACAAUUUUUCUUUCCUAAGGGUUGUUAACACUUGCCUAACAUGCUUCUUAUGGUCCUCUAAAGACAAGCUAUAAAUAAGAAUACCUUCAAAAUAGACCACUACAAACUUGCCAAUGAAAGGUCUUAAAACAUGGUGCAUAAGUCGCAUGAAGGUGCUUGGAGCAUUGGUUAAGCCAAAUGGCAUGACUAACCACUCAUAUAAACCAAUUUUGAUCUUAAAGGGGGUUUUCCAUUCAUCUCCCAAUUUAAUCCGGAUUUGGUUAUAACCACUCUUAAGAUCAAUUUUGGUAAAUAUUUGAGACCCAUGUAACUCAUCCAAUAAGUCAUCUAACCUAGGGAUAGGAUGCCUAUACUUAAUGGUCAUAUUGUUUAUGGCACGACAAUCCGUACACAUCCUCCAACUCCCAUGCUUUUUAGGGACAAGAAUACAGGCAUAGCACAAGGACUCAUGCUAUCUUGGACCCAACCCUUAGCUAUUAAUCCCUCCACUUGUUGUUGAAUUUCCUUGUCUUAGUUGGAUUGGUCCAAUAUGUUGGUCUAUUUGGUAAAGAAGCCCUGGGUAUGGAGUCUAUUUGGUGUUCAAUUCCCCUUAGAGGAGGUAAUCCUUUAGGGGAAUCUUGAAACACAUCUUCAAACUCUUUUACCAAAGGUUCAAACACAUAGGACUAUCUACCGCCAGCUCACUCUUAAGGUUUUUCUUUGGAUAUGCUAUGAAAAUAGCCCUUUGAGAAAGCAUUACCUUUUUAACCUCUUUAGAUGAAAUGAGAAGGCUUCUUUUAGAACAAUUUUUUUCUUUUUCAUGUUCUUUCUUUUCUCUCAUUUUGAUUUGGUCCUCAUAGACCUCUUUUGGUGAGAGAGAUUUUAGUGUGAUCUUAUGCCCAUGGAAGGUAAAAGAGAUUUUGUUGGUAAGGCCAUCAUGUAAACUUUCCCUAUCAAAUUUCCAUGGCCUACCUAAAAGAAUAUGAGUGGCUUCCAUAGGUACAACAUCACACAAGACCUCAUCCUUGUAUUUACCAAUUGAGAAGGCUACGAGGACUUGUUUAUUUACUAUUAUUUCCCCCUCUUCACUUAGCCAUUGAAACUUAUAGGGCUUUGCAUGAGAGAUGUAACCCAAGUUUUUCUACCACUCUUGUGCUUGCCACAUUUGUACAACUACCCCCAUCCACAAUUAAGGAACACAACUUGUCAUUAAUGAGGCACCUAGUGAGAAAAAUGUUUUCCCUUUGACUUUCAUCAAAAGGCUUUAAGAUUUGGCCAAGCAUGCGUAUCACUACUAACAAGUCUCCAUCACAUUGAAUUUCACUUUCUUCCUCACUUUUGCUCCUAGAAGAGGUAGGAGACCUAGACCUUUGUGAGCUAUGAUCACUCAUGACCCCCCCCCCCUCCUUAACCAUCAUAUUUCUCUUACAAGGACAAUUGGCUACAAUAUGCCCAAAACCUAGACACUUAAAACAUUUUUGACUUGAGGUUUUGGUGGGUGACUUAGGUGUAGAAAUGGAGGGUUUAGAGAUUGUAAGUGGAAUCUUUCACAAAAUUUGAAGGAAAAGUUUUUGAAGAAACUUUGUUCUUGUCUUUCCAAGAUGAUUUGCAGAAGCCAUCAUUAUGAGUGGUUUUGAAAUGAGUUGUCUUUGAAAGUUGAGAUUCAACCUUGAUGGCUAGGUGAACCAAUUUUUCUAAUGAGGAAUACUCAUAAAGUUCUACCACAUCUUGGAUUUCUCUCCUUGAUCCACUUACAAAUCUACCUAUUUUAGACUCUUCACUUUCAUGCAUGUCAAUUUUAGUUAAAGUAGUUUCAAGAUCUUUAAAGUACUCAGCUACACUUCUAGGUCCUUGUUGAAGCCGUUGGAACUUCAACAAGAGUUCCUUCCUAUAAUGAGGAGGAACAAACCGCACACAUGUAUAAUUUUAAAUCGUCCAAAGAGACCAUGAUUGACCUCUUGUUUAGCCCAAUGUCCAUACAACUUUAUGCCACCAUUGCAUGGCAUAGUCUAAAAAUUCUAGGGAAGCUAACCUAACUUUUUGGUCUUCUUGAACCUCAUAUACAUUGAAAAUUUGUCCUACCUUAGCUUCACAUCCUAGAUAUACAUUGGGAUCACUUUCCUCAUUAAAACUUGGCAAUUUAAUAAAAGGGAAAGAGGGCUUGGAUGGUUGAUGUGGAUGGCGCCUUUCAUCAUAUUGGUGCAUUCUCCACUCUUUCUCUUCCUCUUGGCUACCAUAAUGGGAGUAACUCAUUGAGGUUCUCCUUUGAUCCCACCUCCUUCCUCUUGGUUGUCUUGUUUGUGCCAUUUCAAAGCCUUUGCAAUCUCUUUUCCAAUUUCCGCAUGUCUUCUUCUUUUUGGGCUAAUGCUCUUUUGGUUGCCGCAAGCCCACCCAUAAGAAAGGCCUUUUGGGGAGAUUGAGGUUUGGAUGAUUCCCCUGAAGAAAGAUUAGCCAUAAAAAUUGAACAAAGAGAACAAACAAUUAGUGAAAGAAAAGUAAAUGACUCUUUCCUCACUUGUGUCACUCUUUUGUGUAGCAAAGAAGAGAUUUGAACAAAGCACUCAAAAAGAAAGUUCUCUCAACAAAGGUCUAUCUUGGCGUUGCAAGCUCUCAAAUGAAAAAGGACAAAGCCCUUAACACUUGAUCUCAAAAGAACCACAACAAAACUAAAAGAAUUUUAAAAGACAAGCAAGAAAAGCUCAAAACAAAGAAGUUCAACCAAGUUGGAAAAAGAGAUGAUGACAAAACUUUUAAAGAAAGACAAGCAAGAAAAGCACACAAAAAGACUCUAAGACACUUACUAAACCUUUAACAAUGAAGUUUUCUUUUCUUUAGAAAUUGUCAAAGAAAAAGGAUAAAAAUUCCUUGCCAAAUAAAAUGAAUCCCCUAUUUUUGAAAUGUUGCUCUUAAAAAGAUUGGAACAAAAUAAUUUGUGCAACUUCUCUUUUUUUAUACUUGUUUUUGGUUUAUAGAAAUAAGAUGUCCAUAAUUUUUGUCAUGCAUAUUUUUAUUUACCUCCAAUUAUCGCAAAAUUUUGGGAUUCAAAUUAAAUGAACACUUGAAAACUAUGUUUGGAACUUAAAUCUACUUCUACUCAAACAAAUUCUAGUUACCUUCACAAUUAAAAUCAAGUAAGUAGAAGUAAUUAAGGACUCCUAGAAACACUAAGAAAAUAUGACUCAAGAAAAAAGAGUAAGAACAAAAAUGGACAUAAACAUAAACAUUCAAAAGCGAAAAAGAAGUGCUAAUGAAUAAAAAUGUCGAAAAGUAAAGGUUGAAUUUAAAUUUAUUUGAAUGUAAAGGCAAUAAUUUAAAGUUGCAAGAAAAGUAAAGUGUCAAAUCAACUCAAAACAAAUAUGCUAAAAAAACAAAUCUCUGAAUAUCACAUGAUGUGAGUUGAUUUUAGAUGAUUCCAUUUUAAAUGUGACACUUUACUUAAGAUUGAGAUUUUAGCAAUAAAAUGGUGAAACCUAGGGAAGAUCCCCACUGAACACGAAUUUAACCAAGUGGUUAAAUAAGUGUGAAAGUUUACUUCCAAAGGCAAAGAUAAAAAUCAAUAUAAGGUGACAUGGAUGAUGCAUUGCUGAAAUUGAAAGAUAUGGAAGAAAGCAAUGAAACAAUGCAUAGCCAAAUUGAAAUGAAGGAAGAACAACAUAUAAGCACAAUGGAAAAACUGAAUGGAAACAAGAGAAGAACACAAAAUAAAGCGGUGGAAAUGGAAAUGAAGGAAAAGGAUGGAAGAAGAAAGCUUAUGUGGUGGAUUGAGAAUGGAUCACGCCACUUGGAGUGUGGUUUUUCCUCCAAGAUAAGUGUUGAUGACCGCCACUUGAGAGCUCCCAAAUCACUCAAGAUGAGACCUAAUAAUAAGAGGAAACAAGCCUCACAAACACCUCACACAAAUUGUACAAAGUAACUUUUCUAUUCAAAUUCAACGUGUAAAAAUACAAGGAGUAUGACACCCUAUUUAUAGGAGAUGGUGCCUUAGAAAACAAGAAGCAAGAGUAUGAUGGGAAACCUAAAAGUGGGGCUGCCUUUAGGGUUUGACUAAGUCAAACCGCACCUUAGGCUUGUUCUUCUAGAAACUAGGUAAAAAAAAGCUAAAGUGAUAAGCACACUCCUCCCUAUUAUGUUAAAGGCAACCCUAUUCUACUGAAAUUAAAAACAAAGACACUAGUUGAUGCUCAGCUCCCAAAGUCUGUGCCCUGCUCCUCGUGAUCCUUUGUGGAAGGCUAGGUGCUGAGGAUUGACUAGUGGAUCCUGACCUAGCCCUGUGUCUUGAGUCAUGCUCCUAGUCAUCUACCGGGAAGGCUGGGCUUGGUCAGUGGGCACACUCUCUCCUAGGUUCUCAUCACCUUGGUUCUUUAGGGAAAGAUUCAUAUAUGGGUCUAUAAUAAUCUCUUGGGGAUGGUGGAUAAUAAUCUUCAAAAUAAGGACUAUACCACACCUGAGUUUGGUCUCUAGAGUCAAGACUCCUUCUUUUUCUAGGACCAGGUUCCUCUUCCCUAUGGCCCUUGGCUUUAUUUUGAUAUUAUAUGUAUUAAGUAACCAUGAUUUUUAGCUUUUGCAUUGAUAUUUUUUUUUGUAUUUUAUAGUUCAUCUCUCCAAAUUUCUCCCUUAUGAUUCCUCUUAUAUUUAUACACACUAUAAUGAUGAUCACUCAUUUUUUAGAUUUAAAAUUUUUUCACAAAAAAAAAAUCAAAAAUUGGGUGAUAAAGAUUUUCACAAAUAGUUUUUAUAUUUUAGCAAAGUUUCUAAAAGAAAAAGUUGUUGAAAGUUAACCAAGUAGACUCUCAGGAAAGAGAGGUGGUUCACAAAUUUUAAGUACUUGACAUUUUCUAGUAAGAGUUUUCCUAAGUAUCACUUUCACAAAAUCUCUCGUAAAAACUUCAAAAAUAGAUUUUUGUCCAAUUGUGUGUGUGCAAUAGAAUUCUAAAGAUAAAAGCAAGGUCAUUUAUUAAUUUUGAAAUGAUUAAAGCCUAGUUAUCACGGAUACCUAAUAAAGAAAAACAAAAAAUUAACAAGAAGAAAGUAAAGUAAAGCAAGAAAAUCUAGACAAAAAUUCUAAGUGAAAAUGCAAGUGACACUAUAAGCCCCUUAACAAAUUUCCACUAAGACUAAAUGCUUAUUGUAAAAAUGUUGUUAAUGGGAUUGCUUUGAAAGCAUUUUCCCAAACAAAGAAAAUAAGCAAACAAAUUACAAAUGAAGAAUUAGCACAAAGUUUGUGACAAUAUGAUUUUAUAAAAAAAAAUUGAUAUUUGAUCUCUCUCAGGUGUUUAUCACUCUUUCUUUUGAACUUCCACUUGUUUGUUAUCUAAAGAUAAGUUAUUCUUAACUUGAUAUUUUUCUUCUCCAAAGUGUUAUCUAGCAAUGUAAAUCAACAUUUUCAAAAAAUCACAACUAAAAAAUAAUUUUCAUCUCCAAAAUGUAAUUAUAAUAAAAAAAAACUUAAAAUUAAGAAAGUUAAACUUGAAAUUAUACACCAGACAAACUCAAAAAUUACCAAAAAUUUAAGAUAAACAAAAAAAUUAAAAGUUAUAAAAAUAAUAAACACUAAAAAAAGAAUUACCUAGAUAUUGACACUAGAAGAGAUUAAAAAAAUAUAUAUAUCAAUUUUUUUUAUCAAUGGAGCAUAAGACCAAAUGUUGCUGACCCAAUAUGACUUUGAUUACUCCUAUGCAGCAAUGAAGGGAACACAUCACCCACCGAAGUGCAAUUUCACUUCCAGAAUCUUUGUUUGUUGCAAUUUGUUCAAUUCAAUUCUCGUGUGCCCCACAAAAAUUCUUCAAUUGCUUUAAUUUUUACCUCAAUCACGCUGCUGUUUCAUGUGCAAAGUUUGUAAAAAAAAAAUAAAAAAAAUCUCGAUUCAUGCUGCCUCUCAUUGUUUAUAUAAUUAAAUUCAAAUAUCUUAAACUUUAAAUCUUAAAUCAUAAUCGCUAAAUCAUAAUCUUAGUUAAACUUGUCAACCACUGUAAUCAAAUUUCCUUUUCAAUUUGAUUUCACACUGUGAAAAAAAAAUCAAUUUCAUUUCAAAUUGUACUGUGCCAAUCCAAUUCACCGUGACCAUAUUAAAUUGGAUGCAAAAUUGUUGGCCCUGAUCAAAAAUUUUCUCUCUGGUCAAUUCAAGCAAAUUGAAUCAAACAAGCACUUCACCCGUGAAACGCAUGGACUUGUUUAAAUAUAACAAAAUUUGGAUUAUAAUAUUAAGAAAAAGAAUAAAUUGUAAUUAUUUUCUAAAAUUAAAAUAUAAUUACAAAACAUAAUAUAAGUCCUGCAGUUAAUAAAAAAUAAAAAUAGUUAGAAAAUAAAAAAUAGAUAUGAAAAUGAUAAUUAUAAUUAAUAGAUAUAAAAUUGACAAACUUUAAAAAAAAAUCACAAAUAGGAUGAGACAUGAAAAGUAAAUGUAUUUUUAUAUAACGACUAAGUUUUGAAUGUUGACUACAUAAAAAAUUAAGUAAAUAUAUUUAAAAUAAGACAAUGUAUAACACUUAAAAAAUGAAAUGGUAAAAAGCAAACUCAAAAAGUAAGAACACAAAAUAUAUACGUAAAAACGAGAAGUGGCAAAAUAAUUUUUUAGUGCGGAAACAUAGAAGUUAUUAAAAAAAACAUAUGACUCCUGCAAAUAACAGAAAAUCAUAUUAAAUACAUAUAAUAGAAAAUAAAAUUGAAAAUGCAAAUUAUGGGUAAUGUAAAAAAUGAUUGUCAAAGAACAUAUAGUUGCAUACCAUAAUGGCAGAACAUAACAUAAAUUGCAAAAAGAAAAUAACAUGAAAUAUUGAAGUGCGAUUUUACCCAUAACGUAGGGGAUUUAUUUUAAAAUAAUAUAUAUAUAUAUAUAUAUAUAUAUAUAUAUAUAUGUGUGUGUGUGUGUGUGUANNNNNNNNNNNNNNNNNNNNNNNNNNNNNNNNNNNNNNNNNNNNNNNNNNNNNNNNNNNNNNNNNNNNNNNNNNNNNNNNNNNNNNNNNNNNNNNNNNNNCCUUUUCAGGUACUCACGGCGGGGUAAGGUGAAGAUCUGAGUUGGAGACGAAGGAGACCUUGUUCGCGAGUCAAAGCUACGCACGAAGAUCUUCUCAGUCAACCGGCAGGAAGAUUACAAAUAUCAGAAGAUUACAAAUAUCAAAAAAUCUAAAAUUUAGAAUAAAAACAAAAACGGAUGUUAGAGUACAAAAAUAAAAAGCAUAUUUAAUCUUUAAAAAUUAGAAGUUAAAUUUUGUAUACACUCAUUCAGAUAAAAUUUGCGACAACUUAAAAAUAUUUAUCAAGUUGGUAGAUAUUUAUCACAAAAUAUUUUUACAAUUUUCAAUACAAAUCAAAUAAUUAAUGAAAUUAAUUUCAUAUGAAAAAAUACGAUUAUAAAAGAAGAGUGUAUAUAAAAAAAAUAUUAGAAAUUAGUUAUAAACGAGAAAUUCACAUCGGCAAAGAGAUUUAAAUAUAUUCUUGUAAGAUUUUGGUAGGAAAAAUUUUAGUCUCAUUUAUAUAUAUAUAUAUAUAUAUAUAUAUAUAUAUAUGUGUGUGUGUGUGUGUAGUCUGUUAAAACUAAAAACUAAAAAAUAAUAAAUAAUUUUGCUUUAUAUGUUUUAAUUAUUGGAGAAACAUUUUAUUAUAUCAAAACAGACAUUAGAAACAUAUUAUAUUAUUAUAUCGUAAAGUAAUUAUAAUAAAAAAUAUUAUAAAAUUAUAUAUAUUAAUUUAAAUUAUCAUUAUUUUUUAUAAUAAUUUAAUAUAAUGUAAUGUAUAGACUUUAGAAUAUAUUAAAUAAAUAAAAUUAAUAUUUUGUCUAAACAAAUUAUUAUAUAAUAGUUGUAAUAAUUUAAUAUUUUUAAAAUAUAAAUAAUUCAAAUUCCUAAAUAAAUAAAUUAUAGAUGUAAUAAAUGGUAGUCGUAUUAGAAAUGUUUAAUGCAAAAUUGUAACCAUCUUUAUUUUAUUAACAAUUAAUUUUUUAUGAUUUUUAUGUAAAAUAUGUAAAAAUAACAUUAAUUUUAAUAUGUGACUUUAUCUAAAUUUUUGUUAAGAUAUUUUAAGAAACAAUUUGUUAAAUUAAACCUUAUUAUAAUAUUUUUUAUUAACAUUAGCUUAUUUUUAACGGAUCUGUAGAGAAUCAUACUAUUAUUAAUAAAAAUUAUAUUUACUUAGCAUAAUUAUAAGAUAUAGUUGAUUGAAGGUAUUUGUACCGGUCUGGUUCGUACGAUCAAUUCGAAGUCCAACAUCUAACUAAGAUUGAUUGAAACCAUUACACCCAAGUAGAAGAUUAACGAGACUAAUCAAAGAUCAAACAAUAAGUAGUACAUUCUUAAUCAUGAAUUAAAUCCUUAAUCGGGUUAAAUAACAAAAGAUCCAUGAUAAUUAUAUAAAUAAACACAAAUUCCAAAAAUUAGGUACAUCAUUAUCCAAUACUAAUUACAUUGUGUACCGAGUGCCCUUACUUGAGACGUCUUAAUCAUGAAUUAAAUCCUUAAUCAGACUCAAUAAAAAAACGUCCAUUAUAAUUAUAUAAAUAAACACAGAUUCCAACACUAGUGCAGAAAGGCUAAACAAGGGCGACUAUUUUACAUUUACAAGGGCAGCUAUAGAGCUACAUUUGAUCAACACGCAUUCGUAAAUCAAAGAGAUACAAGUGUGGCUAUAUAGCCGCAUUUGUAAAUACUAUUUAUAAGAGUGGCUAUUUUUGGUAGCCGCACUUGUAUAUGCUUCUGAAUCAGGGUUUAGGGGUAAUGCAUUUACAAAUGUGGCUAUUACCAAAGUAACACUCGUAAAUAUGAUUUACAAAGGCAACUUUGGUAAAUAACUGCCCUUGUAAAUCACAUUUACGAGUGCGACUAUGGUAAUUGAAUAGGUUAAUUUAUAUGGUAAUAGCCGCACUUGUAAAUCCUGUGCUGGAUUUAUAAGUGCGACUAUGGUAAAUAGCCGCCCUUGUAAAUAUUGGUUUUUUUUAGUGCAAUUUGUUUAGUGCUAAUUCCCAUAUAAAUUAACUUGUUCAAUUAUAUAUACCCAGUCUGACAAAUACAUAAAUUCAGAUAAAUUCAAAGAAUCAAAUAUAUAUUGAUCAAAAUGUACAUUACAAACACUAAUCAAAUUACAUAUAAUCCCUACACUAUUGAUCAACUAUCCUAGAGUUAUAAAAAUUUAUGAAAUAUAUGGACCAAGAAUGUUUCACAUAUGAUAUGGCUUCCGAACUAAUUGGUACUUCUUUCGUGAAGAACUGCAUUUCAAAAUAUAGUUGACAUAAAUUAGUUUUAAGAUACAUAUAUGUUAAAGAAUUAUAAAAAUAAUUUAACAUAUCAUGUUACCUCUUUCCAACCACUUUUAAUGCCUAGUCUUACAAUGGUAAUCAUCCAUUGCAUAACUUAAUAGCCACACUCAUAGCUUCCUAGUUGUUUAUUACACUAUAAUUCAAUAAAAAGUAAAAGUUAGUAUAUUGAUAAAUAAUGAAAAGAGAAAGAAAAAAAUUACAAACUUUUAUUCUUAUCCAGUUCAAAUUAUUUGAACUGGAUCGACCUUUUAGGAUGUUAUAUCCACGCAAUGAACUGGUUAAUACAAAAGAGCUCGUUAGUAGAUGGUUAAUUAGUAACAUACAGAGUUAAAUUUAUAGUGUACAUAUCAAUGAUAUUCUUAAGAUUUGAAGGUAUCUUCUUGUGUAGGGAACAUAGCUACACAACAGUCUUAUCAACCAUUGAUAAGGCAAGUAACUGCCAAUGACGCCUAUAUCAUCCAUGAAAAGAGUUAGUAAAUAUUUAAAACAUGAAAUAGUAAUAAUUGACGACAUAUAAUUAAACUUACUCAUUAAUAUAAGAGCAUAAAUAAAUUUGUUUUCCCUCUUUUUCCAAGGUGUUAGUGAUGUAUGAUUGGGUUUCAGUUGCCUUUGCUCUAGUAGGAUUAGUAUAUGCAGGAUCUAAGAAUCCAUACACAUUUUCCUUCUCCUCAGUGAGACAGACUCCAUGCAAAAACCUACAAGUUAUUAGUUAAAGCAUAAUCAAUAAUAAUUUAACAUAAAGUAAAUUGAAAUAUAGGUAAAGAUACUUACAUCAUAAAAAAUUGAAUUAUAUUUAUAUUGAGCUCCAGAUCCCCAACUACAAAUUCUAAUAAAUUUGUCACGUACAUGUACAGUGGCAGUUCAGUGUUUAUUUGAAAAAACUUAUCAUCCCAGGGAACUUCAAAAGGAUCUGUCUAGCAGCUAGAGCUAAGGAAGCUAUAAAACCGUUAACUGGAACCUCAUGCUUAUUUUUCAGACUUGAUUUCCUACGAGGUUUCUACAAAAUAAAAAACAUUUGUAUUAAAUUAUAUGUAUAUAUAAAUAUAAAUAUAAAUUAAUAUAAUAUAAUAAAAUGAAAUUAUUACAUGAGGUUCUCGCAUAAUUCGAAUGAGGUGUCUGGGCCAGACAACGAAUGUCUAAAAUGCAUCGGCCACAAUGGUUACCUCGUCUGAAGGUAGUGGAACACGAGCAUCAGGUACUCGUACUUUUUCAACUAUUACCUUCGCCACAUCAGGGGAGAGAGGGACGUUAUGUAAGGUGGUGGCCUCUUCAUAGACUUUUCCAAUGGCCACCACCUGAGGAAGCUUGUCGCCCGCUAUCAGUAGCUCGCAUUCCCUCGUAUGCCCAAUGAUAUCCUCCCCUGAUGUUGUAGGAGCCACACAACUCCCUUUUGUGCUCUUGGGAGUGGGACUAACAAGGAGUUGAAUCGGCUCAGGACAAAGUUGUUGCGAUAGAAACUCUUGUCGCAUCCGAUUAGUCUCCUUUCUCAUCUCCUCCAUUAAUUUUUCAUGUAUCUUAGUCUUCAUUUCUGCUUUGCGCUCUUUGGAGGAGGAGGAUGAUUGUCGUUAUGAAACUCCAAAAUAUAGUUUAAUUCCAAUCCCUUGUCCAACUGCACAACCACAGUGCUCAGGUCGUCCAAUUGCUUCAACCAGGAUAUCGCGACGACCUUCAGGAACAAAAUUACCUUGGGAUUCCAAGGAAUCUUGCAAGAGAAAAAAAUCAUAUCAGUUUUUAAUAUAAUUAAUGCUUUUAAAAUAAAUGAAAAAAGCUAAAAAUUACUAACAAUUUUUUCGAUGAUAACCCCGAAUUGCUUAGAACUUAGUGCACCUGACUUUUUAAUCUGAGCCCUCUUCCAUUUUACAUGGCGAAAAGGUCGUGAUGGAGGAGAACUGACCCCUGUUUCCACAUUCUCAGACGACGUCCCCUGUCUAGAUUGCUCCUUUUCCACGAUCAAUGAUUGCUCAAGCUUUCGAUACCCUGAACGAGAUAGUACGUGCGGGGUAACAUUCUUCAAAGCUAUCUCUUGAGCUUUCUUUCGAAAAUCCUGUCAUAAUUGAAAUAAACAAAGUGAAUUAAAUAAGAUAAACAUAUUAAUGUUAUAUAAAUAAAAAUAGUUAGGUAACUUCAUUUACCAUGCAAGCCUCAUUUUCACGGCUUAUUUUAAAAAGACGCCAUGUCUCUUCAUCAAUAUGUUUGUACUUUAAACAUGAAUUUUCGUCUUUAAGGUCGCCAAAAACAUAUCUCAAAGUCAGUCUUGACUUAAAGUGACAAAAUUUAAGUCCGAUAUUGGAUAUAAUCUUUGAUUGAAGCGGUUCCACAUCAGGAAUUUCAAAAUUUGCCUGCAAAAUAACAUCACCAAAUUAAAAUUAAUCAAUGAAUAUUAAAAAACAUUAUAUGGUAACAAUAAUAAUGUAAAGCUUAUAAGAACAUCCUCCCAGAUCAUGUUCUGAUCGACCUUUGACACCUCAUCCCAUGAAUUAAUCGAAAUGGAGAGCCUUUCACGAGAAACAACUCCAAGAUAGCUCAUAAACUCAUCUGCAUGAGGACCAAAAGCCACUCCAGUGUUGGCGUCAAUGUCAACACGUGUCUUCUCACUAGCAACACGUUUCAAUGCGAGACGCUUCAAUCUAGUAUGUCCUCUGCUACCUCGUCCGGAUCGGGAUUUGAUUGGAUUUUGAUUGUCAUUUAUAUCUGUGUUAAAAAAAUUAGGUAACAAACAUUAGUUAAUCUGCAUCGAAUUAAAAUCAUAUAAAACAAAUACAUAAAAUUAUAAAUGCGUAUUUACGGGUUGCAUGUGGGUUGAAUGUUCAUAUGUAAAUUCCUUCACUGUGGUCUUUACGGGUUGCAUGUACAUCAUCAAGUACAUCGUCAUCUUUAUUAAUUAUCAUUGGUGUGAAUGAACGGGGGUCACCAUUUUCAAUAUCAUCUAUGACCUUCCUUUGUUUUUUCCCGUGUAAAACGACAUACCAAUGUUCUGACAUAGGAUCUUUCACGUAGAAAACCUGAGACGUUUGUUGAACCAUUAUAAAUGGCUCAUCUCGAUACCCUAUCUUUCGAAAGUCCACUAGUGUGAAUUCUAAUUCAUCAAUUUUAACCCCACUUUUAUUGUCAACCCAUUUACACUUGAAAUUGGAACGGAAAACCUAGUGUAGUCAACCUCCCAUAUCUCUUCUAUAAACCCAUAGUAUGUCAUUGAUCCAAGUACAGGAUUUGUAUCUUUCGAAGUUGAAAACUGCAUUGACUCGGCUUCAAGAGUAACACCAAAAUUUUGAACUAUACCCUUUUCAUCCAUAAACUUUGUGUAAAAUAUACAAUUAUUCACUUCAUAUGCUUUACAUGAAAUGACAUCAAACUUCAAUCCAGCAGCCAACCAGGUCAAGGUCUCUGAUGUCGUUGAAUCCUUUAAUACCUCGUCUUUAAACCAAGGCAUGAAAGUUCUAUUAUGUUCCAUCAAGACCCAUUUCUCUGUUUGUAUUGGGUUAUUUUCCUUCACAAUGGCUUUAUGAGCUUCUAUGUAAGGUAUGACUUCAUCUGUGUUAUUCAAUAUAUACAAAUGUUCUUGCAAGACUUCUGAUCGAGAUUUGCUUACAAUAUUCACACCACGUAAACAUUUACUUGUAGAACGCUUGUGGUGCCAUGAAUUAGCUGGAAGACCUAUUGGAUUUGCUUUUGACAUGUACUCUAAACAAAAUUCAAUACUUUCUUCAGCUAUGUACCUUUCAAUCAUUGAAGCUUUUGAACGAUAAUGAUUUUUCACAUAACCUUUCAAAAUUUUCAUAUACCGCUCAACAAGAUACAUCCAUCUUAAGUACACUGGUCCACAAAAUCUAACCUCUCUUACCAGAUGCACCACUAGAUGAACCAUGAUGUCAAAAAAAUAUGGAGGAAAAAACAUCUCCAAUUCACACAAGAUAACAACAAUUUCAUUUUGAAGUUCAUCUAGUUUUGAUGGAUCAAUGACUUUACAAUAGAUGGAAUAGAAAAAUGAGCACAAAUGGGUUAUGGUAUGUCUAACAUUUUUGGUAAGAUCCCACGAAUAGCUACCGACAACAACUGUUGCAUCAAGAUGUGGCAAUCAUGAGACUUCAACCCAAUUAACUUCAAAUCUUGCAUUGACACUAGGCUCUUAACAUUUGAGGAAUGUCCUUGUGGCACUCUCACACCCUUUAGACAUUGACAAAAACUAAUUUUUUCAUCUUUUGACAUGGUGUAACAGAUUGGGGACAAAUAUGUACGCUUACCCAUUUUUAUGGGUGCCAACUCGCCUCGUAUGUUCAUCUCAAUCAAAUCUAAACGAGCAUUUGACCAUCCUUCGUCUUUCCAUUAUUGUUAAGAAGUGUACCAAUUAAGCUAUCACACACAUUCUUCUCAACAUGCAUUACAUCUAUACAAUGUCUGACUUCUAACCUCGAUUAGUAUGGAAGAUCAAAGAAGAUUGAUUUCUUCUUCCAAAUGUUUGUUACAGAUGACUUUUUUUUACUUACCGAAGGUGUGGUCUAUGUUAUUUACCUUUUCGUAAAUCUCAACACCAGUUAAUGGAGUUGGUGGACCACUAGUCUUUUGGUGUCCAUUAAAGACUUUUUUCAAUCUCCGGUAAGGAUGAUGACUUCUAAGAAACCUUUGAUGCCGAAGAUAUACUGUCUUCCUUCCAUGUUCACUUUUUGAGAAGCAGUGUCUUCUUCACAUAUUGGACAUCCUUUAUGACCCUUAACACUAUAACCUGAUAAGUUACCAUAUGUCGGAAAGUCAUUGAUGAUGCAAAAUAACAUGGCAUGAAGCUUGAAAGUUUCAUUAGCAAAUCCGUCAAAUACUUCAACACCCUGGUCCCACAUUAACUUCAAAUCUUCAAUUAGGGGACUUAGAUAAACAUCUAUGUCAUUCCCUGGCUGUUUCGGACCAAAUAUCAUCAUAGACAACAUCAUGUAUUUUCGCUUCAUGCACAAUCCAGGAGGUAAGUUGUAAAUAACUAGUAAAACAUGCCAUUGUUGGGUUUAAUAGUGCCAAAGUUCAAGAGGGGGGUGAAUUGACCUUUUAAAAGUUUCUCGCAGAAUCAGUGUUUAUCACAGUUUACAGAAAAUAAAUCGAUUUAUUUGGAAAUGAACAAAUUUAUUUUGUCACUGUUUGUGUUUGAAAAACGUUUAUACAGCCAAGUUAAUCACGGGAUUAUGCAGAUUGAUUUUCCAAAUACACACACUGAUAUUAGAACGAAAAACAGUGAAUCACAAAACAACAAGCUUCAAUUUCAAGCAAGUGAUUAAGGUUCAAUUGAUAGCUUGACAAUUAAUUGAGUAACCUAUUACAAUCAACCUGUUCCAGUGGCUUUUAACAGAUUAUAGAUGUUCUUUUCAGAAUCAAACAGUUUUUCCAGAAAUUAAGAAUAGUAUGAACCGAGCCCAGAAAUAACAAAUUUAUUAUUGAUUGAACAAAUUUAUUUCUUAACAGUUUUGACAGAUAUGCAGAAAUUUAAGUGUAGAGAUUAAGGGAGAAUGAACACAAGGCAAUUAUACUGGUUCACUCAACUGAGCUACAUCCAGUCUUCACCUAAACCAAGGUGAAAUUCACUAAAUCACAAUUCAAACAAACACAAAUCCCAUUGUUCUUGAACCCUACAAGAACUUAGGUACACUUGCUGAAAAACCCUAUUUCAGCACACACACUCUUCAAGAAACCCUAUCAAGAAGAGUGUACAACCAAACUUUUACAAGAAAAGAAAUGUGAAACGACUACACCUGAUUGAGGAUGCAGAAAUCUGCCUUAAACUAGUAGAACAAAUUGCUAGAACAGUAGCAGCACCUCUCACCAAGCUUUUGGAACCAAACAAGAACAAGCACUUUUUUAUUUUCGAAAUCNNNNNNNNNNNNNNNNNNNNNNNNNNNNNNNNNNNNNNNNNNNNNNNNNNNNNNNNNNNNNNNNNNNNNNNNNNNNNNNNNNNNNNNNNNNNNNNNNNNNCUCAGAAACAAGUUUUCUUUUUAUAGAAAACCAACUUAUAACAGAUUUUUGAAAAACAGUUAAAGCUGUUAUAAAAAGAACAAAUUGAAAAUAAAAUGAACAGAUUUAUUUUCAAAUAGCAGUUAGAGAAUUUGUUAUGUGAGGAGACUUAGUCAGCCAUUCUGGUGCAGGGACAAAUUUAAAACCAUUUGAGGUAGACUUGGCACCAGAGUAAAAAAAGAAUCUAUUCAUUUAUAGAUGAACAUAUUUAUUUUUCAAAACGAAAACAGAAAAAGCUUAACUAUUUAAAACACAGUCGUUUUGAAAGGUAGAAGACUUAGUCAAAAUAUAUGAUGCAUAAAAUCUAAUUUUCACAAGACUUAGCCAAGGCAUUAGUUUAAAAAUGAAUCUGUUUAUUUAGAAAAGAACAUAUUUGUUUUUAUGCAGUAAACGUGUUUUUUUGUAAAACAUGUGAAAAACAGUUUAAGAAAUUUGUGCUUGCUCUUAUCACAUGGUCAGUGGUUAAGAGGUGAGUUACCCAGCAAAAAGCCUACUCUUAAGCAACCUCUAAACUCUACCUAAGACAUUCUUAAAGCAAAAGGAAAUAUACAUGAAUUGUACAUAAAAGUCUUCAUCAAACACAUGUCUUGAAGGGGCAGCAACCAUCUUCAACAAUCUCCCCCUGUUUGAUGGAGACAAAUCCCUAUAGCUCUGUUGCUUUAAGAACCUGUACUGCACCAAAUACUAAACCAGAAAAUUGAAACAUUGCAUAACAUGUAAAUCAAUUUUAAGGUGCAGAAUGUAACUUUCUGUUUCAGCUAGCUUCACCUAGCAUGGUGAGCUAUUUUUCUCCCCCUUUGGAUUCAUCAAACAGCAUUUAAGCAUAGGGAAAGAUAAAAUAGAAACAUAACCAUAAUAGUCCAAAAAAUAAAGACAGAUUGUUCAACAUUACAGAAAUUAAAAACUGAUAAAAGAAAGCAUGGAAAGCAAGAUACUACUAAUCCUUGUAGUAUAACUCUGCAAGCUGCAACUGAACUCCUUCAAUUUGAUCAUCAAGGUGCUGAAACCUUGCUUGAGUGGUCUCAAAAUAUGCCCUCUGUUCUGCAGUCAUGACAUCAAGGCGAUACAAAACUUGCCUUUCAAACAUGGAUAAUGGUUCACCUCGGUAUUUUGGAGUUUGAUAGGCAACAAUGACAUUCUGAUGGGUUGCAGCAGCCUCUUCAUGCACUGAUUGGGGAGCAGGUGAGUCUCCUCUGAUUUCUACAGAUGGAGAACUUAUCCUUUGAUUUCCAGCAUGUUCAACAGAUUGUUCUUGCCCAUAGGAGUGAUGGAUAACAUAACAUGAGUGUUCUGCAGCUUGAACUAUGUCAUCCUCCAUGGGAACAGCCUCAUCUUCAUCUUCAUUGUUGAGGUUUAAGGCUCCACGCUCUUCUUGAGGAUCCUUGCCUUUGAGAAUCACCCAACUGUCCUCUACUUUGUGAAAUCCCAUCUUUGUGAGAGUUGAGUUAUCAAUCUCACUCACAGCUUUGAUGGUUUCGUUUCUCUCAUUUGAAGCAUCAAUACCAAAGAAAUCAAUCAAUUUUGAAACAAGUAUAGCAUAAGGAAAGCGAUAAUCAGCCAACCUUUUGGAUUUCAGCAUGUGUUCAUUGAUAAUGAAAACCCAGUUUACCUUAAUCUAGUUCAUGAUGCAAUAUAGAAGGAUUAAAUCCUCUUCAUGUAAAACAACAUGAUUUGUACCUCUUGGGAUGAGUUGCCAUGCUAUAAUGUAGUCAACAAGACGUGGUGUAAGGUUCAAAUGACCUGCAUGGAAUCUGCUUAUGCUCUGGGUAGGAGUCCUCAUACAGCUCUUGUAAUAUUGCAGUUUAUUGAAUUCUUGUAUCCCACUGGUGUUUCCUUUUCCCACUUUCAGUCCAGCAUACUUGAUUCCAGCCACAGAAUUCCAAACAUCACUUGUGAUCUUCAUUUUGAUCCCUUUCACAUAGGAGACAAUGUUCUUUCCAUCCAAGGUUAGAUUAGUGUAAAACACCUUAACUAAAUCAGGAUAUACAUUACCCGUUAAUUCCAGCAGCUUUUUUCAGUUUCUGGUGCUUCAAUACAACCCUUGUUUAUGCCAAUUUUCUAAUUUCAGCCAGUUGAAAUCCAACACCUUGGGUAUAUUAAUCUGCUUUCUGCUUGUCUCGUGGAUGUAGGCAUUGAUACCUUCUUCAUUUCCAGCGAACCAACCUUCUAGUACACCUUGAAAAGUGCUUAGCUUGCCCUUAUUUUUUUGUUUCUUCAUUGAAGAAGAAGCCAUGGUUGAACCAGAAUUUUCUCUUGGUUUCAAAUGGUGAGAACAGAAAAUGGAUAGCCAAUGUGGGUAGCAGAUUUUCACACAGAUUUAUAUAGAAAAAUGAAUAGGUUGAUAUGGCAGUUAUGAAUGGAUAUGCAUGAAGAUUUUAUGCUCUGAAAUUGUGCAGAGAAUCUUUGAAAAUAUGCAACAAAUAUUUAGGGUCACGAUGCACACAACUCAUACCUUCAUUGAGCACCCAAACCAUCAAAUCGGUUACAUAACCAUGACCAAAACCGUCAAAGGUACAGAGGUUAAUGCCCACUAAGUCAGUCAAACAGUCAAAGAUCAAAAUUUCUCUUUCCUAGUCAUCAAAGCAUAUCAGUACCAAAAAUAAACACAUUCAAUUACGAAUAAACAGAUUUAAUUUUUCACUGCUAGGCACAAUUGACAUUUAUAAUACCCAAUUCAUUAAGCAGAAAAUUAAACCUAUCUUUAGCCAAUGGUUUUGUGAACAAAUCAGCAAGUUGUAAAUCUGUACCAAUGAAUUUAACAUCACAAGUUCCAUUUGAAAUGUGUUCCCUUAGGAAAUGAUGCCUAAUUUCAAUGUGUUUGGUUCUUGAAUGCAUGACAGAAUUUUUGGUUAAGUUGAUUGCACUUGUAUUAUCACACAACAGAGGUAUAUGGUUAAGUAAGAUACAAAAAUCAUUCAAUUGUUGUCUUAGCCAUAUAGUUUGAGCACAUAAACUCCCUGCUGCAAUGUACUUUGCUUCAGCAGUGGAGAGAGCAACACAAGCCUGUUUUUUGCAUUGUCAUGAGAUCAAGCUUGAUCCAAGCAAGUGACAGGUUCCACUGGUGCUCUUCCUAUCAAUUUUGCAACCUGCAAAGUCUGAAUCAGAAUAUCCAGUUAAGUUUAAUGAAAUGUUACCUGGAUAUCACAAGCCAACUUCUUUAGUUCCUUGCAAAUACUUCAAAAUCCUUUUGGCAGCAUUGUAGUGUGAUUCUUUAGGAGCAGAUUGAAACCGAGCACACAUGCACACUGCAAAUAUUAUGUCAGGCCUACUAGCAGUGAGAUACAGUAGUGAUCCUAUGAGUCCUCUGUAUUUGGUUUCAUCAAUAGCAAUUCCAGCUUCAUCAUGAUCCAAGUGACAGCUAGUUGAGAAGGGUGUGCUGAUUGGUUUACACUUGUCCAUUUCAAAUUUCCUUAGCAGAUCUUUGCAAUACUUAGCUUGAUUCAAGAAAAUGCCAUCCUUGAGUUGUUUGACCUGCAAGCCUAGAAAAUAGUUCAACUCACCCAUCAUUGACAUUUCAAACUCACUCUUCAUGACUUUCACCAAAGUUUCACUCAAUUCUUCAUUGUUUGAUCCAAAGAUGAUAUCAUCCACAUAUACUUGUACUAGAAUUGUGUCAUCUCCUUUCUUCUUAAUGAACAAGGUCUUAUCAGAUGUGCCUCUGUCAUAGCCUUGUGAGGUGAGGAAAUCACUUAGCCUCUCAUACCAUUGCCUAGAAGCUUGCUUGAGCCCAUAGAGAGCCUUUUUGAGUUUGAACACGUAUUCUGGAUGCUGAUGGUCUUCAAAACCUGGUGGCUGUGAAACAAAUACCUCUUCAUUUAUAUAACCAUUCAAGAAGGCACUCUUCACAUCCAUUUGAAAUAGCUUGAACCCUUUGAUGUAGGAGAAGGCAAGUAGCAAUCUAACAGCUUCUAACCGAGCCACUGGUGCAUAUGUCUCAUCAUAGUCUAUUCCUUCUUCUUGAUUAUACCCUUUAGCUACUAGCCUAGCCUUGUUUCUGGUAAUUACUCCAUGCUCAUCCAUCUUGUUUUUGAAUACCCAUUUUGUCCCAAUUAUAUUCAUCUCAAGUAUUCUAGGAACAAGAGUCCAUACCUCAUUAAGAGAAAAUUGAUUCAGUUCCUCUUGCAUGGCUAAAAUCCAGUUGCUGUCCUUGAGAGCUUCAUUCAGAUUCUUGGGUUCCACUUGAGAUACAAAAGCCAUUGCUUCACAGAAGUUGUUCAAGGAUUUCCUAGUUGAUACUCCUUUCCCAAUGUUCCCAAUGACAUUAUCAAGGGUUAGGUCUCUAGGGUUUUUCACUCUUUUGGCAAACCUGUAGGCACAGUAGAUUCUUGCAUAGCAUGUGUAUCAGUAGUAUCAAAAUGAAUCGAUUCAUUUUGAUUUAAAACAGAUUUAAAUUCAUUACUGUCAAGGUCAUCAACAAUAGUUUUAGAUAUGCUAUGAUCAGCUUCAUCAAAUACAACAUGCAUUGAUUCUUCUACUAUGAGCAACCUUUUAUUAAAGACUUUAUAUGCAUGACCAUUCAAAGCAUAACCAAUGUGCACACCUUCAUCUGAUUUAUCAUCAAACUUACCAAGAUUUUCUUUGCCAUUAUUCAAUACAAAGCAUUUACACCCAAAAACUCUAAGGUGGGUCACACUAGGUUUUCUGCCCUUAUAUAAUUCAUAUGGAGUUUUCUUAAGAAUUGGUCUAAUUAAGGUUAUAUUUAACACAUAAGCUGCAGUAUAGACUGCAUCUGCCCAAAAAUACUUAGGGAGCUUAGAUUCAUUUAACAUGGUUCUAGCUAGUUCCUCUAAUGAUCUGUUUUUCCUUUCAACUACACCAUUUUGUUGGGGUGUCCUAGGGGCUGAAAAGGUGUGUGAUAUCCCAUGCUUCUCACAGAACCUCUCAAAUCUAGCAUUUUGAAACUUUCCCCCAUGAUCACUUCGAAUUGAUUUAAUGCAGCAACCAUUUUCAUUUUGCAGAACCUUUGCCAAUUUCUUAAAAGCAAUGUAAGCAUCAUGUUUAUGUGCAAGAAACAAAGUCCAUGUAAAUCUAGAGUAAUCAUCCACAACAACUAAAGCAUACAAAUUUCCAGCCAAGCUAGCAACUCUAGAUGGUCCAAAUAAGUCCAUAUGCAAUACAUCCAAUGGAUUUUUUGUAGAAACAAUAUCUUUUGAAUUGAAAGAGGAUCUGAUUUGUUUACCUUUCACACAAGCAUCACAGAGCCUGUUAUCCUGAAAUUUAAUGUUAGGUAAACCAGAAACUAGAUCUUUAGAUUUCAGUUUAUUCAAGUGAUUAGUGUGUAUGUGAGCUAACCUUCUGUGCCACAGCAAAGACUCAUCACUUCUAGACAACAAACACUCAUUUGAAGAGUUAGUUUCCAUGAUAUUCAAAAGAUAUAUGUUAUUCACUCUCUUACCAGUAAACAACACCUUAUUAGAUGAAUCACUUGAGAUUGUGCAGCCUUUUGACUCAAAGUUCACCUUGUAUCCUUUGUGACAAAGUUGACUUAUGCUGAAAAGGCUAUGUUUGAGUCCUUCUACAUAAAGCACAUUCUCAAUAGUGGUUGAAUUACCUGUUCCAACAGUGCCUCUGCCCAAAAUCCUUCAUCGGUUAUUAUCACCAUAGGUUACAUGUCCCUCUGCUUUGAGCUUUAAGCUAGUGAAUUUUGUAAGAUCUCCAGUAUGCUUGGAACAACCACUGUCCAAGUACCACUGAUUUUUCUUGUUGCUUAUCUGCAAAACAGAAUAAAAAUGAUACAAAUGGUACCCUUUUCAGUAUGGGGUCUAGCACAGAUUAAAACCUUAUCUUUGGUAGCCAUUUUGCUAAAUUCUUAGGAACAAGAUGCUUUCUAGCAAUGCAUGACCUAGAGGUAUGACCAGAUUUCAUGCAGUAAAAACAGGUUACAUGAGAUGCCUUUUGCCAUUGUUAAAAGCUGAAAAACCUGAUUUUGCUGGAACAAAAAAACUUGAAAGCUUUUUGACAUUGGUUACAUUUCCAGGGAUAUAACCAAGACCAUUUUUAUUGAAAACAGCAUUCUGUGAGCCAAGGAGAGACUCAAGGUGAUGGAAGAGGGCCAAGCACAACCUUCCAUGAAAGGCAAGAGCCAAGUCAAGAGUGUCUAAGAUCAAGCUAGGAGCGUCUAAGACCAAGCUAGGAGCGUCUAAGACAAGCUAGGAGCGUCUAGGACAAGAAGACCAAGCUAGGAGCGUCUAGGACAAGCUAGGAGCGUCUAGGACAAGAAGACCAAGUUAGGAGCGUCUAGGACAAGCUAGGAGCGUCUAGGACAAGAAGACAUGGAUCAAAGCUAUGAAUGGGAGAGUGGCAUACUAGCACAUUUUCCGUGAAGGCCCAUCAAGUGUAGUUUAGCUUUAAUUGGGGUGUAAAUAGCAUAGCCAUGUGGACAAAUGUUUAUUUUUCUGCACAUUAGAAUUAAGGAGGAGUUAACCUUGAUUAGCUAAAGGUUUCUAGAAGCCUUCACUAAUCUAGGGACGGUUUUGUGAAGCCAUGUGCACCCAUGUGCUCCAUGUGCUCUCCAUGUGCCAUGUGCCUCACAUUUCCAUUUCAUUUUGCUUACAUUUCAUUUGCACUUAGCUUAACAUUUACGGCCUCCUUAGCUUAUAAAAGGAGAUGCCUAUCACUUGUAUUUGCAAUAUUAAUGAGAGUAAUGUUAUGCUGCCCAUUUUGUGCCAUACUUGCUCCUUACCUAGUUUCUAGGUUUUAAUCUUCCUUCACCAUCUAUCAAAGGGUUGGCCGAACCUCCCUUCUUCCAUACUCUUCAUGCACCUUCAAGGUCACCACAACUCCUAGGAGGACCUUGCCCAUUUCAUACAUAAGCUUCUGCACCAUAUUACCAAACAUCCAAGAAGAGCUCCUUGAGAAUGCCAUCAUUUGGUAUCAUGAGCAAAGGUUCUUCAAAGAUGAGUAUUUCCUGGUCAUUUUCUUUUUUAGUUCUUCUUUAAUCCGUGUUGUUCUUCAUCUUCCAUAUUUGUCUUGUUGUUUUUUAAUUUUUGCUUUGAAUUGGUGUGAUGUUUGGAAAUUCCAAUCGGUGCAUCUUGUUCAAUUGUUCUUGAGCAAUCUUUGUGCAAUUUUUGGUAGGAUUCCAUACACUUUGUGUUGCUGUUUUAUUUUAGGUAUUUGAGUCCUUAUUGCAAUUUUAUUUGGUUCAUUUUAUGUUCAUUUGAGUCUUUUAAUUUCUAAAUCUAUAUGUGUUUUGUCUAGUCAUGUUUUUCCCAAAAUGUCAUCAAAUCAUAGUAGUACUUUGUUUGGCUUAUUUGUUUCUUGAUUUUGGUCUAAAUGUUUGAUUUGAAUCUGCUGUGUUUUUUAUCCUUUGGUGCCUUUUAUUUUUAGCUUGAGUUCAUAUUUGUGUUUAGAUCUACACAAAUUCCUUUUCAUCAAUUCCAUUGUGUUUUUCUUUUGGUAUAUCUUGCUGUUUUUUCCAAAUUUGCAGAAUCCCCUGUUUUGCAUAACUCUGUGCUGGCUGUUUUGCUUAAGAAAAUUAUUUUCCCACAUAGGAAAUUUCUGAUCCUCUGGAUUAUGCAAGAUUGAGGUGCUACAGAAAAGACAAAAAAAGAAUCAGUUCAAAAAAGUCAAUAGAAAAAAAUGAUAAAUAUUAUAAAAACAGUGUGCAAAUUUGGCGCUACAACUGGCGUAACUGAACACUGAUUUUAGAAAAUUUAUUAAAAAAAAAAUUGUUCAUGCGUUUGGAGUGAAACCAACGCCAGAAUUUAGUUGAGAUCUUGAAUUAUUGGCAUAUAAAUUUUCAGAAGCAAAUCUUAAAAGGGCAGCUCAGCAUAAAUCGGGGAAAAUCACGCUCUCUGGCCCACAACAAUUUUUUUUUCAGUGGUGUUGUUUUUUAUUUUGAAAUCAAUUAUAGUGUUAUUCUUAGGAUCCAUUUUGUGUGCCUACCUUUCUUUGAGUACCUUUAUUUGCUUGUCUAAUAUUUCUUUGGAACUCUUUCUAGUUGUCACAUUUUAAUUCCAUUUGUGUGUUACUGUUUUUCCAAUUAAUUUGUUUCUUACUUUAAUUCUUUGACCUCUAAAUUUGGUGGUGGAUUGAUUCUCAAUUGGUGCUUAUUUGAUUGGAAAUUUGACUUGAGUGAGGUCUAGCUUGCUUGAUAGGUGCUGGAUUGGAGAAUUAAUUCCCUAAUUCUAAGAGGAACAAAGGCAAGGGCAGAAACAAACACCUACCAAAAACACCACAUACAUUGGAAGGCCCAACAAAGAGGAGACAACCAAGUGCCAAUAGAAAAAAAAAAGAUCAACAAAGGGAGUUUCAUUUAUUUUCUUUGAAACUUAACUUUUGUUAAUUACUUCUUUAAUUACGUAAUUAGACGGUGAGUGUGUCUUCAAGGGCUCCAAGUGUCCAAGAAGCCUCACCUAGGGCCGACUAGUUAGAACUAUCUAGCUUAGUUUUGUUAAUUGUCUUUAAUUGCAUCUUUUUGCCUUCAUUAGCUACACUUAUCAAACUGUUUUGUAUUGUUUAAGCUUUGUUAAAACUGUUUGGUUGAUUAUAUAGUUUGCAUUGUUUUCUUGCAUUAAAAUCUUAUUUCUCCAACUUAAUUGUGUUUUAAGUGGUUUACUAAGAGAAAGCUUUGUGUGAAGACAUUGAGGGAUAGUUUUUGGCUAAGGCAAAUGCUUGGUAUUUAAGUAGUCCACUGUGACUCACCUCCCUUACCUCGAAGACUACCUUCUUUGACUUCCCUAAAUUUUCUCAAAGUAAAACACUUUUAUACACAAAGCUCUAGCCAUGUCUUCUCAUUCUGCAAAGUCUAUUAAAAGUGAUGUAAAGUCCAUGAAAUCUCUUUUAAAACAAAUCGCAAAGGACGUACAACACAUUUCAUAUAGACAAUUGGAAAAUGAGUCUAAAAUCAAUGAGUUAGCUAGAGCCAAGGAAGAGAAAUCCCAAAGUUCAAAAAAAUCCAAUAGCCAUCCAUCUCUUUCACAAAUCCAAGAAUCUCUAGGGGAGGGAAGCCUUAGAAUCCAUGAUUACUACCAACCACCCCCUAGGAGAAAUAGAAGAAGAGAGGAAGAGAGCCCAAGGGAAGUAAGGGUAGACCUACCCCAUUUCUAUGGUAAGGAAGAUGUAGAGGUAUACCUAGAUUGGGAGAUGAAAGUAGAGCAACUCUUUGCUUGCCAUAGGGUGAGUGAAGAAAGGAAGGCACCCUUAGCAACCCUUAGUUUCCAAAGUAAUGCCAUGUAUUGGUGGACCUCUCUAGAGAGAGACCGACGUCUUCAUAGGGAGCCUCCCAUAGAAUAUUGGAAUGACCUUAGGGGAGCCCUAAGACGUCGUGAAUUGACCUUUUAAAAGUUUCUCGCAGAAUCAGUGUUUAUCACAGUUUACAGAAAAUAAAUCGAUUUAUUUGGAAAUAAUUUAUUUUGGCGCUGUUUGUGUUUGAAUAACGUUUAUACAGCUAGGUUAAUCACGAGAUUAUGCAGAUUGAUUUUCCAGAUAGACACACACUGAUAUUAGAACGAAAAACAGUGAAUCACAAAACAACAAGCUUCAAUUUCAAGCAAGUGAUUAAGGUUCAAUUGAUAGCUUGACAAUUAAUUGAGUAACCUAUUACAAUCAACCUGUUCCAGUGGCUUUUAACAGAUUAUAGAUGUUCUUUUCAGAAUCAAACAGUUUUUCCAGAAAUUAAGAAUAGUAUGAACCGAGCCCAGAAAUAACAAAUUUAUUAUUGAUUGAACAAAUUUAUUUCUUAACAGUUUUGACAGAUAUGCAGAAAUUUAAGUGUAGAGAUUAAGGGAGAAUGAACACAAGGCAAUUAUACUGGUUCACUCAACUGAGCUACAUCCAGUCUUCACCUAAACCAAGGUGAAAUUCACUAAAUCACAAUUCAAACAAACACAAAUCCCAUUGUUCUUGAACCCUACAAGAACUUAGGUACACUUGCUGAAAAACCCUAUUUCAGCACACACACUCUUCAAGAAACCCUAUCAAGAAGAGUGUACAACCAAACUUUUACAAGAAAAGAAAUGUGAAAUGACUACACCUGAUUGAGGAUGCAGAAAUCUGCCUUAAACUAGUAGAACAAAUUGCUAGAACAGUAGCAGCACCUCUCACCAAGCUUUUGGAACCAAACAAGAACAAGCACUUUUUUAUUUUCGAAAUCUUUCAAGAACAGAUGCUAAUUCUUUGUAAAUCCUUAAUUCUCUGAUGCAAAACUUGUUUUCUCAAUUGUAUGAUCGAUUGUUUAAACUCAGAAACAAGUUUUCUUUUUAUAAAAAACCAACUUAUAACAGAUUUUUGAAAAACAGUUAAAGCUGUUAUAAAAAGAACAAAUUGAAAAUAAAAUGAACAGAUUUAUUUUCAAAUAGCAGUUAGAGAAUUUGUUAUGUGAGGAGACUUAGUCAGCCAUUCUGGUGCAGGGACAAAUUUAAAACCAUUUGAGGUAGACUUGGCACCAGAGUAAAAAAAGAAUCUAUUCAUUUAUAGAUGAACAUAUUUAUUUUUCAAAACGAAAACAGAAAAAGCUUAACUAUUUAAAACACAGUCGUUUUGAAAGGUAGAAGACUUAGUCAAAAUAUUUGAUGCAUAAAAUCUAAUUUUCACAAGACUUAGCCAAGGCAUCAGUUUAAAAAUGAAUCUGUUUAUUUAGAAAAGAACAUAUUUGUUUUUAUGCAGUAAACGUGUUUUUUUGUAAAACAUGUGAAAAACAGUUUAAGAAAUUUGUGCUUGCUCUUAUCACAUGGUCAGUGGUUAAGAGGUGAGUUACCCAGCAAAAAGCCUACUCUUAAACAACCUCUAAACUCUACCUAAGACAUUCUUAAAGCAAAAGGAAAUAUACAUGAAUUGUACAUAAAAGUCUUCAUCAAACACAUGUCUUGAAGGGGCAGCAACCAUCUUCAACAUCCAUGUCCAAGUGUUAUAAGAUCGAAGAAACCCAUCACAUAGAAGGUGCUCCCUCAUUAUCUUAACAUCCAGUAUCCUUCCAUUUAAACAGUUAACGCAUAAACACCUGGUCUUUGCUCCAUCAUGACCACUAUUAAUCGCGUUAUGUUGUGCAAAUUGUAUAAAUUCUUCUACUCCUCUUUCGUACUCAUCACUUAUGCGAAGAGAAUUAAUCCAAUUUCGAUCCAUUCUAUUCUGAAAUAGUCAUGCAAAUGAUUUUUAAUCAGUGUUCUACCAAACGCAUUUGCCGAGGGUCGAACACCCUCGGACUCAAUACCAGCAUGUAUCAAUUGCCGAGGAUGGAACACCCUCAGACUCAAUACAAAAACGAUAAUUCUAUUCUAAACUAACAACUAACAUAAUAUAAAUUAAAAUUAAAAUUAAAAUAAACACUAAAUAAUAUAAAUUUUAAAAAAUAAAAAUUAUAAUACACAAAAAAAAUUCCUAACAUUAAAAAAAUCAAAAAAUACAACCAACCUUGUGUGUGAAGGCAACGUUGCCAAGGUGGCACGGCGGCGGCAACAACAGACGAGGCGAUAGAUGCGGAAGCAACGACAAAGCACACAAGCAAGAAGAAAGGAACCUACAAAGGCAAUGCAACAAUAUGAACAAUAUCAAUAACGCUGUAUGAACGAAAAUACAUUGGUGAAGAAGAAAGAGUGCUCACAAACUUACCACGAAGGCACGAGCGCUUCAAGAAGAGAGAAACGCAAAGCACAAAUGAGAGCACAGUGCAAACGCGAAACGCUUCUGGAGAAAGAAAGAGUAGUGAAUGGCGCGCUUCUGAAGUGAAGUUAGGGUAAAAAUGAUUUACGAGUGCGGCUGUUACAAUUAGUUGCAUUUGUAAAUGAACUUAAUUUCAAAAAUGCCACCACGUUUUUUACGAGUGCGUCGGUUCGUAAAACAGCACUUAAUAAGGCGCCCUUGUUUUGCCUUUCUGUACUAGUGCAAGAAUUAGGUACGUCAGAGUGUCUUUUGCAGGUACUAUCUGAGUCUGGAGAUCACAUAGGCGAGGAGUAUAGAGGCGAGAUAUGCAAAAAGAGUGCAUUCAAGAGGGAGGGAAGAGCAGACCAAAAACUGACAAGGAGGGCAUCAUUCUCUUGGUUCCAACUCCGUUCGAGAACAAUUGGUGCCCACCAUGGGGCUGAGAGAAUUUGAAGGAGGAAGCAGUCAGAUGGUUCUACAAGAAGCAGGGUGAACAAGAAGAUGUCGGAGACUGAGUAGAUGGCGCUGAUACUGUCUUUGUGGAAGGAGAAGGAGUAGAUGAAGAAGAAGAACAAGGAAGAGAUUGUGGCCCUCUGAAGAGAAAAUGAAGAAAAAGCUAAUCAAGGAGGGUCCCUCUGGCAGGCCAAGUAACCCUGUGGGGAGACCUGAUGCAACCUCAACCGGCACAAAGGUUGUCGAGGAGACAAGACCCACUCGUACUCAGGAGACUAUGUGCUAAUCGUACCCAAACAGUUCCUUUCUCCCGUCGGGUGUGUUGGACGCAUUCUGAAGGAACCCAUUCACUGAUUAUGUGAUAGGAGCGCAAUUUCCACCUACGUGGAAGGGGAUGAACAUAAAUCGUUACGAAGAGACAAAUGACCUCAACGAGCACAUAGACAUAUACACUACUCACAUGAGUUUGUAUACCUCAGACAAUGUUGUUUUGUGCUGAGUGUUCCCAACCUCGUUGAAAGAAGGAACAUUUAGUUGGUUUACGAGACUCCCCCCGUAUUCCAUAGCCUAUUUUGAGAACUUGGUGUCCAUGUUUGGGACACAGUUCACCACUAGCCGACCGCAGCAUCUGAUCUCUAUUGCCCUGGUUAACAUUCGUUAGGAGAAGGGAGAAUAUCUUAGGUUGUUUAUGGAAAAGUUUAAUAAGGUGACCCUAAACAUCUGAAAUCUGUGUCCGAACGUGGCCAUGCAUCACAUGGUCACAACCUUACAACAAGGGCCAUUUUUUAAUAGUUUGUGCAAGAAGCCAACUGCAAACCUUUACGAGCUUAGGCAUAGGGUUGCUAACUAUAUGCAACUGGAGGAGUUGAGGGAGCAUAGGAGUCAGGCCAGGGCCGAGGCAAGCGGAGAGAAGAGGAAAGAUAAGGAGAAGGAGCACUCGAACCGACCUGCUAUUGAUUGAAGAGAUAGGCACAGGGAGAACUGGGGACCCCGGUUUACAAGGUUUAUCACUUUGAAUGUUGACAAGGGAAGGAUUAUGGAUGAAGCCUUGAGUGUCGACCUCAUCCCAACACCGAGAAGGGUUAUGAGCCUUGAGAAUGCUGACCGAUCUCGUAAGUGCUGGUACCAUCGGAAUAGUGGGCACACCACUAAGGAAUGUCAGGCGCUAAAGGAUAAGAUUGAAGAACUAAUCCAAGACGGACAUCUCUGUCAGUACGUGGAGAGGGGAAGCAGGAGUUCGAAGUGAUCUCCUCUGAGAAGGGAAGAGAUAACCGAGCAAAGGGAUUACGAUCCUCGACGAACAAACAAAGACGAUCAUCAACUCGAGCAUCGGAGAGGAGCCUCCAAGAAAGGAUGGGGUGGCCGAGAGGUCAUCAAUAGCAUUGUCAGAGGCUUUGCGGGAGGGGGCAACUCCAAUUUGACAAGAAAGAAUCAUUUGUGAGCAGUGCAAUAGGUGAACACCAUCUCUUUUCACCAAGGAUGUCUCCCAUCACCUUCACUGAUAAAGACUUCAAGGAUAUUUACCCUUCGCAUGAUGAUCCCAUGGUUAUAACGGUUGACAUUGGUAACUUCUCCAUCAUGAAAACGUUGAUGGAUUAGGGGAGUUCGAUGGACAUCCUCUACUGGAAAACGUUCAAGAAGAUGAGGAUUGCUAAGGAAGAGAUGAAGUCGUACGACAAUCAGGUGUUGGCUUCUCGAGUGAAAAGGUAGGCACCCGAGGCUACAUCAAGCUCUACACCAUGUUCAGUGAGAGCAAAACGAGUAAAACUAUCAAAAUCCGGUACUUGGUGAUAGAUGUCAGCACCUCAUACAACAUUCUGUUAGGAUGACCGUCCUUCAAUCGGCUAGGGGCGAUCGUGUCUACCCUCACCUAGCUAUGAAGUUCCCUCAGUUUCAGGAGAUAUUCUCACAGUGCACGUGGAUCAAAAGGUUACAUGAACAUGCUAUGCGGUCAGUUUAAGAGUGGAACCCCUCCGGAAUGACUCUGACCAAGUAGAUGGAGAUCGUUCCCCCUGAAGAAAGCUCACACGAAGAUGGAAAUCCCCUCGUAGAGAGGAUAAGACAGAACGAAGGGAGCAUACAAUUGCUCUAGUCGACCUAGAUCCCCGGACAACCGAGCCGAGGCUUGAGGCCGGGGAAGACCUACGUCGAGUUCCCCUGCUGGAUGGAGAGCACACCACUAGCGUGGGAAUGUCGCUAGCGGCUACAAAGGUCGAAGUCGUUCAUUUGACAUUGAAGAAGAAUGUGGACCUCUUUGCUUGGACGACAUCUGAUAUGUCGGAGGUAAGCUCCGAUAGGUUUGAGUGAUAGCUUAGAAGAAGCGCAAGCUUGGGGAAGAGAAGAGGGUGGCAAUAAAGGAAGAGGCUAAGAAGCCCCUAUUGACAGGCUUUAUACGAGAGACCCACUACACUACUUGGUUAGCCGAUGUAGUUAUGGUGACUAAGGCGAAUCACAAGUGGAGGAUGUGCGUCGACUACACCAACCUCAAUAAGGCCUGCCCGAAAGAUUCAUACCCUCUCCCCAACAUCAACCGACUAGUGGAUGAUGCAGUUGGUCACAAAAUCCUUAGCUUCCUAGAUACGUACUCUGGCUACAACCAGAUAAGCAUGCAUCAGAGAGAUAAGGAAAAAACCGCCUUCAUAACAGAUAAAGCCAACUACUAUUAUGAAGUCAUGUCGUUCAACCUGAAGAACGCUGGGGCAACCUAGUAGAGGCUGAUGGACAAAAGUUUUAAGGGGAUGAUAGGUCGAAACGUCGAAGGGGAAAUGUGCAUUCGGGGUGGAAGGGGGAAUUUCAUGUGUUUCAUGCUAACCCACCAGGGGAUCGAGGCUAACCCGGAAAAAUGUUGAGCAAGAACUGAGAGGAGAAGCCCUUAGAAUGUAAAAGAAGUCCAGUAGCUCAUUGACUACCUGACAGCCUUGUCAAGGUUCGUUCCUCAGCUUGCCGAGCGGACGAGACCCAUGGUGAAGCUUAUUCAAAUGGUGGCCAAAUGCAACUGGGAUGAUAAAUGUGAAGACAUUUUUCAGCAGUUGAAAGCUUUCCUAUCCUCACCGGGGGUGAUUCAGAAGUUGAGGUUUGACCAGCCUAUCAUUGUUUACCUCUUGUUCUCGGAGGAGGCAAUCAACGCAACCUUGGUACAAAAGGUCGACAAGGAGGAGCGACCAGUCUACUUCGUCAGCUGAAUGCUCCAUGCAGCGGAGAUGAGGUACCAGAUGAUAGAAAAAGUUGCAUUUGCCCUGGUUCUCACAACAAGACGGAUAAGGCCUUACUUCUAGAAUCAUGUCAUUAUGGUAAGAACCGACUACCCAAUCAUUAAAAUUCUUUCUAAAUAAGAUCUUGCAGGACGUAUGAUAAGGUGGUCGGUAGAGUUGUCGGAGUUCGACAUCCAUUAUGAACCGAGAGGAGCAAUAAAGUCUCAAUGUUUAACAGACUUCUCAGCUUAAUUGACCUCUCAGAAGGACUUUUCGACUAAGUGGGUGAUAUACGCUGACGGAUCCUCUAACAAAACGACAUGCGGAGCCAGUGUCGUCCUCGAGGGGCCGGGGGACCUUGUCCUCGAACAAACAUUGAAGUUCGAGUUUAAUGCCACUAAUAACCAGGUCAAGUACGAAGCCAUUCUUGCUAGUAUGCACUUAGCACAUGAUAUGGGAGCUCGCGAAAUAACAUGCAAAAGCAACUCCAGUUGAUGAUCAGACAGAUUAGGGGAGAACUUGAGGUGAAAAAGCCUUUACCACAAAGGUACUACUGUUGAACAAGAUGCUUUGAUGUCUCCAAAUCCAAGAGGAAAGCUUGAAGACCUUGCUGUUGGGUGUGUGUGUGUUUUGUCUAGUUGUUUGAAACUUGUUAAUUCACUCCUUAAGAUGAUCCAAUUUCAUUUGAAUCUUUAACCUUUUGAAAAGAUGUGUUUUCUAAAAAGCUGUCAAAACUUCAACAGGUUGUUUUUCGAAACAACAGGUUGUUUUACCUUAGCAGUUUUUGAAAAGGUUUUGAAAAACUUGGUUGACUUUGCUGUCAAACCAAAACAAUCGAUUGUUUCGACAAAACAACCGAUUGUUUUCCUGAAAACCUUAACAUAAUUCUGUUAAGCUGUUUUAAUAUGUUUUAAAUGAUCCUAACUAACUUGGCUCCUUUAUUAAAUGUUUUUGACCACUUGGGGGGUCUAUAUAAAGGUGGUUUUACGCUCCUAAUCUUGAAGAAACAGAAAGAGUUUAUCAAAACAGUUUUUCCAAGAUUUGAAAGAGCUUUGCAUCAUUCUUAAGUGUGUGGAAUAGGAUUGUGUUGUACUUUUGAACUUUAAGCUUUGUAAUACCCAGGUGUAUCCUAUUCCCUUCUUCCUUGAUUACUGUAUUUCUUUAGUUGUGUUGCCAAGGAGUGUUGUGUGUUCUUGAGGUGUUCAAGAUCAACAUUCUUGGUGUGGUUUGCCAAAGGUAGUGUGUUUCUUGAGGCGUUCAAGGUCACUACUUUGGUGUGUGGUGUUUGUAAUCUGGUUUUGAUUGCAUAGUGGAAUACCCAGUGGUUUCUGGGGACUGGAUGUAGCUCUUGGUGUAAGAGUGAACCAGUAUAAAUUGCUUGUGUGCUUAUCUCUUACCCUUAACUCUUUAAAUUAUGUUUUUAAGUUGUUUUUAUAAACUGCUAAUAAAAACAAUCGAUUGUUUUGACAAAACAACCGAUUGUUUUUCUGAUAUCAUCUUAAAAUAGUUUUGGGUAUUUGUUUCCUUGGUUCUUUUCUCUGUAAUUCAACAUUGAUUUUCAUUAUACCUUCAAAGUUAGUGAAAAUCCCUCUUAAGCAAUUCACCCCCCUCUCGUUUAAGGCCAUAUAUUCUAACAACUACCACACGGUCUCAAAUCUCAUCACUAGGUUCAAAAGAUUGACAAUGGAGCAUAUCCGCCGAGAGGAUAAUAUGAGAAUCGACGCAUUGCCUUAGCUAGCUACGACAAAGAAGAAGAGCCACCAUCAAUCUAUUGUACAUAUUUGCCUACGGAACCCUAGCGUAGGAGAGGCCAAGCCGAUGACGAGAUACCUAGAUCUCGACAUUUGCAAGCCGGAGGAGGAGAAAGCAAUGAGACAGUGAUGUGUUAGGUACACAUUAAUUGGUCCAGAUCUCUACAGAACAGGGUACUCCAAACCACUGUUGAAGUGUGUCACCGAGGAACAAGCAGGAUACAUCCUCUAAGAGAUCCACUAUGGAGUUUGUGGAAGUCAUUCUAGCAUAAGGACCACGGCUGCAAAGGCACUCAGGGACGGAUAUUUCUGGCCAACCAUCUAGAGCGACUAUGCAGAGUAUGUGAAGAAAUGCAUCAAAUGCCAAGAGCACGAUCCCUUGUCCCAUCUCAAACCCGAGGCACUCCACAACAUCGUGUCUCCAUGGUCAUUCGCUAUCUGGAGGAUGAACAUCAUCGGUCCUUUUAGCCUAGAUAAGGGGCAAACCAAAAUAUUUCAAAAUAUUUAAUUUUUCCUCAAAAAUAGAAACAAAAUGCAUAAAGAAAAUAUUUUUGAAUCUUUUAUUUGGGAUCCAACAAGUAUAAACCUUAGUACUAAGUAUUUUCGUUCAUACCAAAAAAUCAAGGUUUACGUAUUUCUAAAUGUUAACUAUUUGAAAAAGGGUGUGCAAUGUGAGCUGAGCUUUUGAGAAAGGUGAAACCGGAAUUUUGAAAAAGUGAACCCGAUAGAAUGAACCUUGCUCCUACGUAUUUAUGUUCAUAACAGAAAAUCAGGAAUCGCAUAGUUUUGGCAGUGGGAACUAGACUUUUUUGGAAAAGUGAAUCCAAUAAAGAUCAACCUCGUUCCUACAUAUUUCUAUUAGGAAUAGAAAAUCAAAGAUCACGUAGUUCUAGACAAUUAUUUAAAAAAAAGUUUGUUUGUUUGUAUUUUUAUUUUUAAUAUUUUUAUUAUAUUUUUUUGGAUUUUAUGUUUGUUAUAUUUUUUUAUCAAAAAAAGUAUUGAGUAAAGGCAUACAAUACUCAAAUAAUUAUUGUAGAAAUUCAAAUUUUAAAAUAUUUAUUAUUAUUAUUGCAUUAUUUUAUUUUUUUUAAGAAAUUAGUAACUGUGGGUGUAUAAAAAUAAAAAAGGUUGGCAGAUAACAACAGUGCUGAGACAGCCGAAUGGGCCAAGGCUUAUUUGGAUAAGAUUAGUGCGGAUAUUAAAUCCGCGGGUGCGAGUAGCAGAACUACGGACUGGUGCAAAUAGGAAAGUUGCUGGAAAUGAGAACAUCAGCAAGAGGUGUCCAAAAGUAAUUAUUAUAUGCAUAAAAGAACGUGGCCCCUAACACUCUCUCUCCCUUACGUAAAUCAUUAUGUAUGCAAAUCUUCCUCAUUAAAUAGAGCAAACACGGGCCCACAAGUACAUGUAUUCAUUUUCCAAAUCACCUCCAACCGCGGGUCACAUUACUUUUUUCAUACAAAUUCUCUAAUUCAAAUGAAAAAUAUAUAUUAACAACCUAUUCCAAUAUAUAACCCUAUUUCUUUAAUUAAGAUUUCAGUUUUCAGUUUUGGUAUAAAAUAACGAAAAUAUCUUUUUUUUCAUAUUAUUAAUCCGAGAUUGUAUAUUGGAGCAGGUUGUCAGUAUAUCAUUUCUCAAUUCAAAUACUGCGUGAGAAAUUCAUUUCAGUUGUACACAGAAAGCGGAGAGGGUCCCACAUAUUCUAAUGAUCAUAACAAAAACUAUAAAGGGACACAAGAUGCGCAAACAACAACCUAAUGCAAAUCAUUAAGCAAAAUCCACAGGUGGAAUAUAGUUGAGUUGCAUUGCCAACGUAAAGAACGACACCGAACGCAACCCCAAAUCGAGAACAACUAAAAACUGCAGUAGCUUUUCAUGCCAAGGCAAUCAAAAGCAAAAGCAAAGGAGCUUCAAUUGGAUUCUGGUAACCAUGAGCAAUCACGAUGCAAAAUACUAUCUCCUUGUGCAUUAAACUGUGAGACAGAUGAAAUAUUAUAUUUGACUAUGAGAUAGAUGACAACGUCCUUAUACAUUCUUCAUGCAUUAGAUGAUAAGGUGGAGAGAGAUAGUGGAGAAGAAGACAAAAAAGUAUUUUUGUUAUUAUGUAUGAAAAAUGAAAAGAGAAUACAAUAUAUAUAAAAGUUGCGUUAACUGAACAAAGAGUUACAGAUAAAAAUAACUUUCAAAAAACUUAAUAUCCCUUCCAACUUAGCGAGAGAUGUUUAUCGACCCAGGCUUGGAAAUAGUAUAAAUGAAUGCACCACGUUCAAGUGGUUUUGUGAGAACGUCAACGGAUUAUUGCACUAUAAGAAAAUCAUUAAAUAGAAACUAAAUUCAGAAAUAAAAAAUAAUUAGUUACUAUAUUGAAUAAAUUAGAUACUAUUUUAGAGACUAAAAAUUUAUUGGUAUCUAAAGUACUUCUUAUAAUUAAUAAAAAUUUAUAAAAUGGUUUCUAAAUUGAUAUCAAAAUUAGUUACCAAGGUUUUAGCUACUAAUAUUUUAGAUUCUAAAUUAGUCUCUAAAGACUAAUAAAGACUAAUUUAGAAUAUAAAGUAGUUAGUAGUUAAAGCCUUGGUAGCUAAGGUUAGAUACCAAUUUAGAAACUACUUUAUAUACCAAUAAAUUCUAUUUAAUGAUUUUCUUGUAGUGUUGGAAGAGAUCGGUAACAACUGAAAGAGCUUGGAUUGAAGCUUUUCACAUACAACAUGAUAGUCUAUCUCUAUAUGCUUCGUUCUCUCAUGAAAGCUUAGAUUGUGAGAUAUAUAUCUUGUGGAUUGAUUAUCAUUGUAGACAAUAACUAGGGUCUGAACCUUUAUCUUGAAUUCAUCAAUCAAAUAUUUCAGUCGUUGAAUCUCACAAGUUAGAGAGCACCAUAUUCUGCUUCGGAUGAUGAUUGUGUCACAAUAAAUAUCUUCUUUGAUUUCCAACUGAUCAAUUAAGAGCCCACGAACACACAAAAACCAGUUGUUGACAGCCUAGUUUACGAACAACUUGCCCAAUUUGAAUCAUAAAAGCCUUUAAGCUAAAGAUCAGAAUUAGUAGGGAAGAAAAACCCUUGUCCAAGAGUCCCUUUAAUAUAAUGCAGGACUCGGUGUGCAACAUUGUGGUGCUCUUAAGUAGGUGUCUGCGGGAACUGACUUAAAAAGAUGCAAUAGCUUAUGUUUAGUCUGGUGUUUAUAAGAUAUACUAGUCUCCCAAUGAGUCUUUGGUAAGCAAUAACAUCCUAUAUGGGAAUCCCUUCUUGAAACAUGUUCUUUGUAUCCUUCAUCAUAGGUGUGGAGCAUGGUUUAGCAACAAGGAGACCAACGUCAUUGAUGAUGUCUAGAGCAUACUUUCUCUGUGAAAUAUGAAUACCCUUAUUAGAUCUAGCUAUCUCAAGACCCAAUUUUUUUUUAAAUCUCCUAAGUCUUUGUCUAGUUGUUGUGUGACUCGUUCAAAGUCUGAUAUACAUUUUUGUGCAAGAAUAAUAUCAUCUACAUAUAACAGUAAUAUAGUAAAAAUAUUUUUAAUGUGUCUUAUGAAUAACAAAUGAUCAUAAACAGAUUGAGUGAAACCAAUUCUUUUAAGAGAAGAAGUAAAUUUAGCAAACCAUUUCUACUUGCUUAGUUAGCUUGCAAACCUAUCCAGUUUUGACCUUAAUUCAAGGUGGAGGUGACAUGUAAACCUCCUCAUUCAUUUCUCCAUGCAGAAACACAUUGUUCACAUCUAGCUGUUUCAGGUGCCAGUUCUGUGUUGUUGUAAUGGCUAGGAGCCUUCUUAUGGUUGUAAGUUUGGCCACAGGGGAAAAUGUGUCUAGGUAAUUGAUGACUAUUUUACGGCAAGUGUACCAUGUAAGAAAUAAUAAUUUGUCCCUAAGGACAAAUAUCAAACGCACAAGAAAUAGUUAAAUUCUCAAGUAUAAUAUUCACUAAAUCUAAGACAAAUGUCAAAGUUUGUUGAAAAGUUGCUUGUAUGAUGAAUUUGCAAGAAAUUAAAUAAAGCAAAGUAAAGGAUUUGUAUGAGUCAAUUGGGAAAAUUGGAAUUGGAGUUUAUCCUUCUCACUCGUCUGUAUUUUUUUCAAAAGAUUAUAAUAUUCAAUCUUGAUUGAUAUUGAAGCACAUAUAAAAAUCAUUCAUAUUGAUUCCUUGCAUACAAAAUUAUUAAGAGAGUCUCCUAAAUAUUGAUUCUUUUCAUAUUUAUAAAAACUCCUUAUCAUUACGAACAUAUUUUAUGAAGCAGUUAACAUUUCAAAUUUAUUCCUAGAAUUCAAAUAUGUUAACCAUUAUCAUUUAGGUCAGAUGCUUAGAAAUACUUUUCAGUCAAAACUAAGGAUCAAAGUCAUGAAUAAUUCAAGCUUUGAGAAUAAAAUGAUAAUAGCAAUCAUCAAUGAAGAACUGAAUAUUAUGGAUAAGUAUCACCUCAAUACAUAAGAGUUUGAAUAGAUUACUUUCAAUCCCAAAUGGAAGAAUUAGCCACUCAUGUUGACCAUUACAAGCAUGGAAAGCAAGAAAAGAAGAUCCAGGAUGUUCAUCCUUGACGGUUGUCUCCUUUAGGGUUUUCUAUCUCUUUCCAUUCUCCUAAUGAUGUCUAGGAUUAUGCCUCAUGCCUUCUAUUUAACCUAGUUAGGCUUGGCUAAGUGACAUCUCGCUUAAGCGAGUUCUUACUUGCUUAAGUGAGUUUGACGAGAAAAGGCCCAACUUCACUAGAAUGAACUCGCUUAGGCGAGUUCCUCUGGAGUGAUCUUGCUAGGGCGAGUUUCCAAUGUUCCAACUUUCCCUUUUCAUCUUAUCCAUUCUCCUUUAGCCCUUUCAUCAACAUUUUCCCCUAGAAUCCUGAAAUUAACACAAAUUUGGGAAUAAAUCGUUCUCAUUCAUCUUAUAAUCACAAAAUAUGUAAACAUGUUUAAAUUCCUAAAUUACGGGGGAUGACUUAUGGUGACAGUAACCGAGGGAUGAUCCUUGGCAGAGGCACAAUAGAUUCUUCAAGAAAGAUCACAAAAGAAGAUGAUUAAGAUGUUGGAUUUUAGAAAUUAAAGAUCUGCUCAGAAAAUCAACUAGAUGAUUAUGCGAUUCAACUAGUUGAAAUCACGAGAUAGAAUGACUUACCAAAGGAAUGGAGAACUCCAAGGUAUCUAUCACUGGACAAAUAAUUGGACAAAUAGGUAAGGGAAUAUCUAUUCAUCUUUCUCUAAAUAAUCUCUGCGGACAUAUGGCAUUUGUGUCACAAAUUGAACCAAAAUUUGUAAUUGAAGCUUUAAAUGAUGAAAACUAGGUAACAACAACGCAUGAUGAAUUAAAUCAGUUUAUAUUUUGCACAUUGCACCUGAGAUAAAAGGGGGAGAAUAUUUGGAUGUUUUGUUGUAAUAUUUUACUAUUUUAUUCCUACAUAAGUUUGUUGUAUUAUUAUUUACAGUUGGCAGAAAUUGUGGUUCUGCAUAGGUUGUGUUUGGUUAUCCUGUUGUACUUGUAUAUUCUGUACUAUUUGGUCUUUCCUUAUGUUUUUGAAGGAUCUCCUUGUAUCAAAAUCAACAACACAACACCAGAGAUUUGUCUUCAUCAAAUAUGGGGAGAUUGUUGAUCAAGAAGCUUUGAUGAAUCCAAAUCUGUCUUGAAGACUUGUCGUGUGUAUGUGUUUGGUUAGGUAGAUUUUGUUAUGUAACUUUGCAUUAAAUUAUGAUCCAAGUUACUUGAAUAGUAAUCUCCUUGAAAUGUUUCUUUUUUCAAAUAUGUGUUAAUUUUAAUUAGUUGAUUCAUAUAUUAAUCAGUUGAAAUUACUUUUAUUCAACGAGGAAAAAACACACCCGAAAAUUGUUAACGGAGUUCGGCCUGUUUAGCCUAAUCUCCGAGCACAGCAAAAACAACUCACUUUUAUUAUUAUGGGAGAAAAUAUUACAAAUUGGGAUAUAUAACAGUGAAGGAGGAGAAUUUAAUUUAUAACCCUCAAACCUCAUUCCCAAACAAUGAACCCACCAAUGUGGGACUUGGGAUUAAGCCAAAAUCAACAAAUCAAACUGUUUUUAAUUAAUACAUCUGGUUUCAAUAAAUAAUCAAACUGUUUUAACAAUCUUUUUUACCCUAUAUAAGGAUGUUUUCUGAUAAUUUUAAACAACACUUUUCAUAAAGAGACAAAUAGAAAGUUUUAAAGCAUUCUUGGAGAUUAAAUUUGCGUUUUGGAUCAUUCUUAUUAUUUGAAGAAGGUUUCUGGGUUUACAUUUUUGCUUUAAGAAUUUCAUCUCACAUCGUCACAACUAGGUCUUUAGAUUCUAAAGCCCCCAAUGAGAUGAGAUUCUUCUUCAACUUUGGCACGUACCGUGUGGUUAAGAGUGUUGUGUGUUCUUUUAAGGUUCAAGAUCAACACUCUUGAUUGCUUUUGUAAACCUUGUGUGUUUGGUUUAGUGAAUUCUCAGUGAUUUGCUGAGAACUGGAUGUAGCUCUUAGUUAAGAGUGAACCAAUAUAAAUCUCAUGUACAAUCUCUCUCUUUCACUUUGAUAUUUGUUUUAUAAAUUGAUUUAUAGUGUUUUGCAAUUAAAUCAAAUGGUUGAAUUCUCAUAAUAAUUGGUUUAAUUUUUGAAUAAAUGUUUGUUUUGCUUUUUAUAAUCAGUUGAGCAUAUAAAUCAAUUAAUUUAUUUUAUUGAUUUUUGUAAAAAUCUUAUGAAAACAAUUCAUCCCUCUUAUUUUAAGUCACCUAUUCUAAUACAUUAAUUUAUUUUAUUGAUUUUUGUAAAAAUCUUAUGAAAACAAUUCAUCCCUCUAAUUUUAAGUCACCUAUUCUAAUACAUGUGUACCUCAGAGUGUCAUGUCAUCAUCCUUUUAAUGUUGUUAAUGCCAAUUUAUCAAAAAAAACCAAAUUAAAUCAUUUAAAUAAUAUUGGGACCAUCUUAAACUUUUUAAAAAUCAAGAAACUAGAGUGACUUUUUACGUUUAAAAUAGAGAUAAAAAAAUAAUUAAACCUCUUAUGAAUUAUUAGAUUACACUUAUUGGAAACAUUUAAAGUUAACGUAGAUCUAAAUGAAUUAAUUGUGUUAAUAAUUUGGUUAGAUGAGUAUUUUAUUAUGAAAAUAGUAGAUGUUUAGUCAAGAAUAUUUUCAACUUCUUGGAGGUUAUUCCAAAUGUGUCAAGAAUGAUUAAAGAACAAUUUUAAUUCCAAAAAUAAAAUUUAAGAAAAAAUAGUUAAUAUUAAUUUUAAAUGAUUAUAACACUUAGUAUUAAAAGCUGAUAUUAAAUUGUUAAAUUGAAUUAUUUUUAUUCAUAUAAAUAUUUGUAAAUUAAUAUUAUUAUUCAUAAUUAUAUUUAAUAUCAUUCUAAUAACUUUAAACUAUUUGUAUUAAAAAUAGUUUGUAAUAAUUAUAAACUUCAUAUAUCACUUUUAAAUUUAAAAUAUAUAUAUAUAUAUAUAUAUAUAUAUAUAUAUAUAUAUAUAUAUCAGCUUUUUAAUAAUGUUAUAAAAUUUAUUACUUAGAAAAAUAGAAAAGUCUGUAGGACGCGAUUUUUAGUAGAGAAGAGAAGAGAAAAAUCAAUUUAGAAAUGGGUCGAGGGUAUGAUUUUUCAUAGAUUUAUAGUAAAAGAUAUAUGAUAAAUUAAGUAAUAAUUAAGUUAGUUUUUGUUGAUAAACUAGUUACUAAUUGAUACAUUUUUAAUUAUAAGUUUUAAGUUGAUAAAUUAAUUUAUUAGCUAAAAAAUAUUGGGUAAAUCUAAUUGAUAGUCUAAUUCGUAAAUGAAAACGAUACAAAAGUAUAUCAUUAUAUAAAUUUUAUUAUAAAUAAAUUUUUUGUUUUUUAUAUCAAAUUAUAUAAUUAUAAUAUUUAGAUUUUUUUUAAAAAAAUCAUUUUUUAUUAAAAUUUUAAUGUUUCUAUUUACUUUUUUAGGGUGUAUAUUCUUUAAAUAUUUAAAUUUAAAAUGUAAUAAAUAAAAAUAAUAUAACAGUUAAUUGAUUCUAUAAAAUUAAAAAUAUUUAAAUAAAAGUAAUUGAAGAUAAUACAAAAAUUUAAUAAAAUAUAAAAACAACAAAAAAUAAACUGCAAAUUAUGAUUUAGUUACAAGCUACAAACACAGUAUAGCUUCCAAGAGUUCAUUCUCCUAAAGAAAUGUCGGCUGGGUUUAGUGGACUUUUUUGUUUAUUCUAAAAAAUCUAAUGAUAUGUCUUAUGUUUUUGUUUUCUUAUAGUUUAUAUUCAAUUUUUAUAAUGGCUUCUUAAUUUUUAUUAAAUUUAUUAUUAAUUUUUGUAAAGAGAAGAAAAGGCAAGGCGGCAAUACAUGGUAAUGGAGUGGUUGGCGUUCUACUAUAAAACUUUAAAAAUCAAAUAAUAUUUUUUUCUAUAACAAUAAUAUCUCUUUGUCCUAUACAAUAAUAAUAAAUUUACAUAGCCUCUUGAUUAGUUAUGACAAAAAGUCAACAACGGCUAACUAGAAAGAAAAGAGAGAAAACACUCCAAUGUCUUCCACCCAAGAUGAAGCAUCCUUCAUAAACGGGCAUAUGCCUUUUUCCACUUUCCUUCAUUCUAUUUCAACCAUUCAUCAUCGUCAUCACUCACACUCACACUCACACACGCCAAAGUCCAAACAUGUCUACUGCAAGAAGUCACGUGCUGGCAUACCCCUUCCCUACUUCCGGACACCUGAUCCCCCUCUUGGACUUUUCCAAGGCCCUUGUCUCUCGCGGCGUUCAAGUCACAAUUCUCGUCACCCCAAAAAACCAUCCCUUGGUACCGACCAACUUUUCUCCUCUUCUCCAAACCCUGCUCCUUCCCCAAAUUCAGUUUUCAAACCCCAACUUAAAUAGGCUCGUCAACACGAUCACCUUCAUGCGCCACCACCACCACCCCUUAAUCGUCGACUGGGCCCAGGCGCAGCCCAUUCCCCCUUCAGCCGUGAUCUCCGAUUUCUUUCUCGGUUGGACCCUCCUCCUUGCACGUGACCUCAACGUGCCGCGCCUCGUUUUCUCCCCCUCCGGCGCCGCUGCGUUUUCCCUCUCCCAAUCCCUAUGGCGCGACGCCCCCUUAAACGACAACCCCCAAGACCCAAAUUCCGCCGUUUCGUUCCCCUACCUUCCCAACUCCCCGGUUUAUCCUUGGUGGCAGAUCACGCACCUGUUCACCGGGAGCCAGAGAGGAGGACCCGAAUGGGAGUUUUACCGAGAGAACACGCUCUUCAACAUCGACUCCUGGGGUGUCGUUUUAAACACGUUCACCGAGUUGGAACAAGUUCACAUAGAGCACGUGAAGAAAGACCUCGGACACAAAAGAGUCUGGGUGGUGGGCCCGGUCUUACCGAUUCAAAGCGGUUCGGCCAUACCGGAAGAGCAUGGUGGGAACAGCGCCGUUUCGCGAAACGACAUCGUUGAGUGGCUGGACUCGUGCGGGGAAUGCUCGGUUGUCUAC